rnacentral:lncRNA from 1 species
GGGUGGAACAUGAUAAUUGUAUCACUGGAAGUAAUUAUCGAGAAGUCUCGGACGUGGAGGGAUAAUUUCGCUUUUAGGACAGUACUCUGUAUGCCUCGAACCACAAGCAUUUUCUAAUUUUUUUUUACAAUAUUUAUUAUUUAAUUUUUUUCUCAGAAUUUUUUUAAAACUGAAAUUAAAUUUUCGAAUUAUUUUUAAAGAAUAUUUUAAUAAAAGAUCAGAAAGACUUUUCAACAAUAGGGGUACAUUUUUUAGACACUUUUGUGUAAAUGUCUCAUUUAUGCCAAAAUUUUUUUAAGAAAAUCUACUAACGGCUAAAUAUAAAGCUCAAUCCAAUUAAAAAUAAAAAAUUUUUCUACUCAACUAACCCCACGCAACCUACUCGGCCUAAUUACAAAUAGAAAAAUAAAUAAAUAAAAAAAUUGAUCACCAUCUCCUUUUCUCCUCCGCCGUCGCCGCAGUCGACAAGGUAGGGUUCCAACGGCCAGAGUUCGGCUGCGAGGAUCUCGCAGGGACCGUAGAGGCAUAUGAUCGCCACGUAUCCCUUCGCCACAGAUCGCUGGAGGAGUGGGUGCCAAAUAUCAAGGCGGUUCCACAUAUAGCGACCCCAAAUAUAGCAACACUUUUAAAAGUGUCGGUAAUUUAGCCAGCAGCACUUUUUUUGAUCUGUACCGAUAAUUAAUAGUAUCGCUAUACACCGUUUUUAUUGUAGUCAUAUUAGUAAAAAAAAGUGAAAUUGGAUAGCCAUUUCAAAAUGGCAUAUUAUUUUUUUUAGCUUAAUAUUUAACAUUUUUGUUUUUUGCCAAAUUGAAAUAUCUGAAAAUGGAAUUAAUUAAUUUUUCCCUGAAAUGGAAUACUAGACUUAGGGGUUGUUUGGUUUGAUGUAAAUCCGGAAAAAAAAGUUCUUGGUGGAAAAAAAAUUUUCGUAGAAAAAAAAUUUUAUGUAGUGUUUUGUUUGGUUUGUAGGAAAUGAAAAAUAAUUUUCCAUCACGGUUGUUUGGUUGAAAGGAAAAAAAAUAUAUAUUAAUAAAUAUUAUUAUAUAUUUCUUUUUAUUAUAUAUAUAUUUUAUAUUAUUAAUAUAUAAUUAUUAUCAUAUUGCAUAUAUUAGUAUUAUAGUUUAUAUUUAUAAAUAAAAUAUAUUUAAAAUAUAUUAUGUAAUAAUUAAAUAUGUAAAAUAAUAUAUAAUACUAUAAAAUAAGUUAUUAGAUAUUUAUAAAUAAUAUGUAUAAAUAAAUAAAAUAUUAUAUAAUAAAUAUAUUUAUAUUAAAAAUGAAAUACCAUAUUUAAAAUAUAUAUAUAUAUACUAUUAUAUUAUAUUAUAAUAUAGAGAGAGAGAGAGAGAGAGAGAGAGAGGAGUUAGCUAUGAUAACUUUACAAGUAUCACCAUCAUGGUGAUUAGCGUUUUAAAGCCAUUGGAUCUAGCUUUUUUGAUAUUAAUAGCCUUGGAAUUUAAACACUAUUCCACCUCACCACCACUACACCACCUCCACCAAUCAUCUCAACCUCACAUUCUCAUCCAAGAGCCUAAAAAACACAAAGGUAUCACCUCAUGAUACUUUUACAAGUAUUCUAAGCCUAUUAUAUAUAUAAUUAAUAUAUAUUAUAUUAUAUUAUAAUAUAGAGUCCGCUAUAUACUAUCGAUAGUACCAAGCUCUUGGUACUAUUGAGUUUUCUACCGUUUAGAUUUACCCUUUGAUCAUUUCCACCGUUCGAUUAUACUAUUAAACCAAACCCUCACUCAACCUAGAGGGCACACUAUCAAUUUAACCGAACCACCAUUAUUAACCGCACAUGUUCUUAUCUAACUGGCUGAAAACCAAUAGUACCAAUGGUUUGAUACUAUUGGAUAGUAUAAGUUGCAUAUAUCUAUAAUUAUAUAUAUAUAUAUAUAUAUAUAUAUAUAUAUAUAUAUAUAUAUAUAUAUUUUAUAUAUAUAUACUAGUAGUAUAUAUAUAUGAUAUGAGAGAGAGUGGACCCCUCUCUCUCUCGCGGUCCACGAGGUGGUCUUGCGGUCUACGAGGUGGGGUAUUCUCAUGGACCGCGCCUGCUAAACCCCGCCCACGCUCCAACGCCGCGCUUUUUCGAAAAACGUCAUUUUUCCUUGAAUUCGUAAAAGAAAUAUUUGAAAAAAAAAAAUUUUACGGCAAACAAACACUCGGAAACAAGCACUCGGAAAUUUAUUUUUUUACCGAAAAUAAUUUUCGGAAUAAUUUUACAACGAAGCAAACAGGCCCUUAAUUUAUCUUGCUUAUCACACUCAUAAGAGAUAGCUACGCGUGAAAACGAAAGGAGGGCCAAAAUAAGAACCAAUUAUUUAUAGAUAGCUAUAAUAUAAUACAAGGAGCUCAUAUCAAAUCACUAUACAAAUGUGGGGAUUGGACGCGCACUUAAUUUAUUCCAAUUAAGAAUUUAAUUCUGCAGUCGAAAUAAAAUUGAAAAAAAAAUAAAAAAAUAGAAAAGUUUGUUGAAUAACAAAGACUUGGAAUAACAAUAAGGAUGAAUUAGAGGGAAUUGGCACAAUUAAUUGACCUGAAUUGAUUCGAUAUGGAACGGAUUAAACGUGGAAUGUGGCGUUUUAUCAACCCCAAAUCCAAACUUACCAGCUCGGAUUCAUCCAAAACCCGCCCCCAAUCCAUCUCGAUCUUGCUCUAUCUAGAUUUCGAUGAUAAAGCUGUUUAGUAAUUUCCGAUCAUUAGUUAGAUAUUAUAUCAAAUGGUUGUUGUGGCAGUGUGGUAGCUUUUAUAUAUCACGAACACUUCUAUAUAUAAGUCUCGCGCAUCCGAUGUAGACACGCCAUGUACGUACGCGUGUUCGACACAAGUCCAUUAGGACCAUUACCUAUACCAUGAAAAAAUAUUCUUAUUUCUAUCUUUUAUACAUAUAUAAUGUAAGAUGAAAUAUAUUUUGGCUCUUCAUAAAUGCAUAUAAUUAUUUUUUAGACAACAUAAAUAAAUUAUAUAGAAUAGAACAUUUCUUUUCUUAAAAUAUAUAAAAUAUCAAUAAAAAUUUUAUUAACUCUCAUUCGUCUGAAAAAUAUAAUAAUAUUUUACUAAUAUUAAUAUUUUAUAUAUAAUAAAUACAUAUUAGUAUAUUAAUAAUAUUAUAUUUUAGUAGUCAUGUUUGUAUUCUAAUUUUUUUGAAGUCAUAGAAUCGUCGUAUCCAAAUCGUAUCUAUACUUCGUAUCUCGUGUUCGUGUCAGUGACAUCAAGGGUUGGAAUGUGCAUGACCAAUUUCAACCCGACUAGAUAUGGGUUGGAUUUUUGAAACCUACAUUUCUGUAAGGAACCGGACUUCUAAAAUUAUAAAGUUACGGUGUACAUUUGAUUUGAAAGCCAUUUAAAUGGUUCCGGUGAGGUUGCGGUGAAAUAUAAUAUACCGGAUUUUUAAAUAUAAAAAUAAAAAUAAAUAAAAAUAGUAUGAGAUAAUAUUUUUAUUGGAUUUGGAGAAGUGAAAUAUGAGUUAGAAACGACCUGUAAUGAAAUCGGAGUGAAAACAGAAGAUUUAGAAUUUUCUGUGAGAAACGGAGCAGAUAAAUUAGCAGAAAAUGCACAGUGUCAAAAAAUUAUGAAAACUGGAGGGUAGAUUAGAAUUAUUUUUAUGAUGCUAGAUUUAAAGUUUCAUGUCAUUCUGACACCCGGAAGGUGAAAAAUAAAAUCCGAUAGUGAUCUGAUAAAGAUUAUAAUUCGGUGCAGCUUUCGGUGACCAAAUAGGGUCGAAACUGAAAGAUUAAAAUUUCUUUGGACUUAUUAAGUAAAACCGAGCCUGCCUGUCAAAUUUGAGCGCAAACGGACGUUCAGAAGGGCUCUGGCGAAAAAUGUCAGUUUUAAACUGCUGAAGUGAAUAGUAUUUUGGGGGAGUUUACUUGGAGGUGAAGUUUCCUCCUAUAUAUAUAUAUAUAAGGGUGUUAUGACAUUUCUCUCAUUCCUCUCUACUUGAGCCAACAUAAGAAAAAUCUCUCUCUCUCUCUCUCUAGGAUUGGCUCCAAAGUGUAGAGUUUGCUAGAGAAAAGCUUGCUUAAAAGUGAAGCUUUCUUUUUCUUCACCAUUGGCUGGAAGAGAGCUUGGGUUUGAGAGGUAAGAUUUGAUAGCAACAAUGAUAGAUUGCUAAAUAGUGAUUUGUAUGCCUUAGAAAUAGAUUUAGUGAAACUCCUAGAUGCUAAACAGAUGGUUGAUGCUCGAAUUUAGAGAUCAAAUGAUGAAUUCUUGCAUAGUUGCAUCUUAGGGCAUCAAAAGAGGAGUUUUUGCUUGUGAGGGGUUUUGAUUUAAAUUGAUCAUGUAUAAACCUAAUUGCUAGGUAAACGAACGCGUUGGCGAAGUCGGUUCGGCGAUUCGUUGAGCCUACGCGAAGUUAUUAAAGAAACGGACAUUUAGGCUUCGUUUCCGCCUGGAGGGCCGAGGCGACGUCGUAAAAUCAUGGAAUCGGAUUUGAGGCACCGUAACAACAAAACAAAGACCCUUUUUGCCCGAGGCUGCGAAGCGAUGCACGGUCGGUGCGCAAUUGCAAGUUCCGGCGGAACCGAGCACCGGAUGCGGCGGGAGGCCGAUUGCAAGUAUCGACAAGCAAUCGAAAUGCACUAACAGGUGGGUUGUGCUCACCGAAGUUAUUAGCUCACUUCCAUGUCGAAGCGAAAGUGUAAUUCUCGUUGAUGCAUAUAAUGUAAAUGCUAAACGAUACAUAUGAUGUAAAUACUUGAUUAUGCAUAUAAUGUAAAUGCAUGAUGACAUGAGGCAUAUACUAAAUGAUGUUGACAUAUCAUGAGAUGCUAGUUGAUAUAUAUACAUGAUAGGGUAUUGGAUAGUCGCAUUUCUAUUCUUGCAUGAUCCAUAGUAGUGUAGCAACAUGAGUUGGCACUUGAGUUAGGAUGUAUGAGAAUAGUGGAAUGGUGACAUAGAACUCUAUAGAGAUAAGUUAAACAAUAGCUUGAUCUUGUAUUGAUGAAUAUGAUGAUAUAUGACUAGUAUAGUUGAGCCAUUGCAUCGUGACGAGUGGCAUGUGAAUCAAGUAAACAACUUGACGAGUGGCAUUAGAAUUUAGUGUUAAAAGAAUGCUUGUGACAUGAUGACUUAGGGGAUAGACAAGUCUCCCUAUUUGACACCUUGCAUGAGAUCGGUGUGACAUUGAUGACCCUAGAGACAGGGUAUCCUCAGUGCACGAGGAUUGGAUCAUACUCACAUUGUCUGUUCAGCGCUUGUGGCGGUCGCCCCGCACAAGUAGUGCGAGCUCCGGAGUCUUGGCACGUGAAACGAUUGGGAUAGCCUAUGUAGGGUCCCAAGGGAUAGCCUAUGUGGGGUCCCGCAGACAGUCCCUCGGGGGUUCGAGUCCCCUUCCAUAGACGGAUUUAAGAUGUGAGUUGAGGGCACGCCUAUGGGCCAGCCAGAGGAUUGGAUAAUAAACUCAUGAGAAUUAUGUGCAUUGAGCAUAGUGAGUCGUAGCUGAACCCCAGUUGAGUGGAUAUUAGGCUGAGGCGCAAGUGAGACGUCCUUCGCCUUGAGCCUGAUUUUGCGCAAUAAUCCGCGGAUGAUUGACUCAAGACCGAGUCGGAUGGAUAGCUUCGUAAAGGUAGAUAAAAAAACCUUGUGAGCAAACAGUAAAGGUCAAUGAAACCUUAUGAUCGGAAUGAUACUUGACCUGAAUCUAAGAUAGAAGAAAACUUAGAAGUCAAUUAGACGAGCUAUGGAUAGCAGGAUUGAAAGUAGUAUCAAUUGAACUACUAGUUGGCUAUAUAGCUGCAUUAUUGCAUGAUUUUCAUAUUGCAUAUUGCGAGGCAUGUUAUUUGUUAGUUGCAUAAAUACAUGAUGAUAUAUAUAUCUGUGGAUGUUUUUGGACUAACAUAUUACAGUGCCUCCUUCGGACCUGGUGGGUCGAGCUCUUCCCUUGGGUAGCCGUACCCACUGGGAACUAUAUUUAUAUAGUUCUCACCCCCGUGUGGUUUUGGGGGUUACAGGUUUGCACGUGAGCGGCGCGGCGGCGUAAGGAGAGGGCGUAUCUCCGUAGAUAGCGCCUUACCACCGAGACCAGAGAUAGCAGUACCCCAAAGUGGCCUAGCUUAGGGGUUAGAGAUGUAAGAAAUAAACUUGUAAUAAUUAUGAUUGUAUUUGGAAGUUGAGGAUGUAUAGCAAAUAAUGUAAUAUAAAUGUGAAUGCUUGUAAUAGCAUAGGAUUUAUAUUGUUUGAUACCUUCCUUAUGCAAUCGUUGUCUGAAUAUUGUUCCUGUUUGGAACCUCUUGUAAUUGUAAUGAUUGCGACGCCUUGGACGUACAGGGGAGACUCUGUCCGUUUGGCGGUCUGUCGGCGUACCCGAACCGACCAAAUAGGCGGACUCGGGACGUGACAAUUUCCAUCUAUAACAAGGAUUGAGGGAUGAGGACACAUGCAAUCUUAUGGUGUCCCUGUUAUAAGAUCAUCUAAAUAGAUCUUGCAAUGUCAUUUUUUGUCCUUUAAAAUUGUAGCUGCGGCUAUUAGAAUUGAUUCUGAUUGAAAAUCUGAAAUUUUUAUAACGAUGACAGCAAGAUGAAGUGACUUUCCUGAGCAGCAAAAAAAGAAAAAAAAAAAGAAGAAAAAGACAACGAGCCGGCUCGCAAGCUAGUGUAGAGAUUAGGGCUGGCAUAUGAGCGAGCCGGCUCGUGUUCAACUCGCAUUCGGCUUGAUAUUCGGUUUGCUCGAUCUUGACUCAAAAUUAAAUAAACCGAACUUAAACAGAAAAAAAAACAUCAAAUUUAUUUCAAGCCGUUUUACUGGGCUCACUCAAAUAUAUAACAUAUAUAUAUAGAGAAAAUUUCUUCAAUACCCUUCUAAAAAUAUUUAAUUUCAUAAAUACCCCUUUAAAAUUUGAAAUAUUAUGUGUACCCCCUUAAAUAUUUAGUUUCAAAUACUUUAAAUCAUAUUUAACGGAGUAGAUCGUCGAUUCAGAAGCUUCAUCAUUGAAAAUAAUUUAUGAGUAUGAAAACUCUAUACUCAUAAGAAUAUAGUAGUCCUAGCCUGUAUAUAUAUAUAUAUAUAUAUAUAUAUAUAUAGAGAGAGAGAGAGAGAGAGAGAGAGAGAGAGAGAGAGAGAGAGAGAGAGCGCGCGCUAGUCUUCUAUACUAUCUAUAGUACUGGGACUCCGAUACUAUAAUCUCGUUUUCGAUCUUAAGGUGUUCAAAUCAACGAUCCACACCGUUAAAACUGAUCUAGGGUAUUUAAAGUUUUUAGAAAUAAAAUUUUAUAUUUUUUUGAUAUAGUUUACUUUAUGAUCAAAAUAUUUCAAAAUUGUCAAUUUUCAAUUGCUACUAUGGCGAAUUUGGAAUUUAAAAGAGUAGAAGAAUCUAAAUUUCUUCAAAUUUUGAUAGAAAAUACUUUAAACUAUCUAGAUUAAGGUUAACAUUUUUUAUCUUAAAUUUAAAAGUCCUAUGCUCAAAUUUUAAAGAUUAUUCAAUUUCCACCGUCCAUUUUGACAUAAUUUAUUUACUAAGUAAACGAUGUCGAAAAAAAUUAAAAUAUUAUUUCUAAGAACUUCAUAUACCCUAAAUCAUAUUUAACAGUGUGGAUCAUUAAUUUGAACACCGUAAGAUCGAAAACAAGACUAUAGUAUCGAAGCUCCGGUACUAUAGAUAGUAUAGUAACCUAUAUAUAUAUAUAGAGAGAGAGCAAGGCCGCUGUGCUCUCAGGAGCACGGAGGCCUCCGUGCUCCUGAGCUGUUUUCGAUGAUGAAAUUUUCGAUUCGACGAUCGGCUCCGUUAGAUCUAGCGCAUUUGAAGUUUGUAGAAAAUAAUUUUUGCGAUUUUUCGAUAUCAUUUACCUAGUGAUCGAAAGGAUUCAAAAUCUAUAAUUUUUAAUGGUUGAUAUCUGUCGUUUUCAAGUUUAACGGUGUAGAAGUAUUCAAAUUAGAUGAAAUUUUAAUACAAAAUUCUUUAUACUAUCUACAACAAGAUCAAUAUUUCUGAUCGAAAAUUUUAAUGCUAUAUCACUAUUUUUUAUAGAAUUUUUAUUUUCAGCCGUUAAAAAUUAUUGAUUUUGAAUCCUUUCGAUUGCUAGGUUAAUGAUAUCGAAAAAUCGCAAAAAUUAUUUUCUAGAAACUUCAAAUAAUCUAGAUCAAGGUCUAACGGAAGUCGAUGCUCGUCGUUCGGAAACUCCAUCAUCGAACGGUUAGGUUGAGGAGGCAUCCGUGCUCUUGAGAAACACAGCCAGCUUGACUCUUCUCUCUCGUCUCUCAUUUCCUUUUAUAUCUAUAUUUAUAAUCUAUAUAUAGAGAGAGAGAGACCUGAGAGACGUGUCUUCAAUCUAUUCGGAUCCUGCUCGGAGAAGAGGAGAGUGGUAGUGGUAUUAAUAUCUUUAUGCACGGAGGCCUGCCGUGUUUCAAGUUUGUUUUCGAAUGUGCGACAUCAAGGUCAACGAGCGGCUCGUUAGGAUUGAUUACACUUUAAAAGUAUUGAAAACUAAAUUUUAUAAUUUUUCGGCAUCAUUUGCCUAGUGAUCAGAAACGGUCUCAAAUGAUAACAAUUUUAAUAGGUAGAUGUGAUGCCGUAUUGUGAAUUUAACGGUGUAAAACAAUCAAAUUUUGAUGAAUUUUAUGUCGCAAAGAUUCUUUUCAUAUUUAGAGCAUAAGAUCAGUAUCCCCUGAUCUUAAUUCAAGUUUUUAUCCACUUUUUUUGGAUUUUUAUUUUCACCUCGUUGAUUUUUAGACCUUGCUCAGUUUGUAGGUUCAAGAUGACGUUAAAAAUUGAUUAAAUUUAGUUUCUACAAUUGCUGUUAAUAGUGUGUAGAUCAAUGUACUAAUGGUGAUCGCGCAUCGUCGAUUGGAAGCCGCUCAUUGAAACAAUUGGAGCACGGAGGCCUCGAUGCUCGAUUAGUAUACCAGCCUAACUAUAUAGUAUAUUAUAUAUAUAUAUAUAUAUAUAUAUAUAUAUAUAGAGUCCGGCAACUAUACUCUUAUGAGUAUAGAGCCUAUUGUACUCAUAAGUUUUUGGCCGUUAGAUCUAGCCUUUAAUCAUUUUCACCCGUUAGAUUAUACUAUUCAACCAACCACCCACUCAACCCUAGGGGGCCCACUAUCAACUUAACCGUAACCACUUUCAUUCUUACCGCACAUUUUUUUAUCUAAAUGGUCGAAAACUUAUGAGUACAAAGGGCUCUAUAUAUAUAGAGUUUGACUGGGCUACUAUCGGUAGUAAACUGCUCGGUUUACUACCGAUUUAUUUUUGAUGAUAGAGCUUCCAAAUCGACGAUCGGCACAGUUGAACAUGAUCUAGACCAUUUAAAUUAUCUAAAAAUCAAAUUUUAUGAUUUUUUGGCAUCACCAACUGAACGAUCAAAUGGUCACAAAAUCUAUAAUUUUAAUGGCCGAUAUGGUGCGUUUGCUUGUUUAACGGUAUAAAAGAGUUCAAAUCAACUUAAUUUUUGUUAAAAAAUUCUUUAAACUAUUUAAAAUAAGGUCUAGACUCUAGAUCUCAAAUAUAAAAAUUGCAUCAUCACUUUUUGAAGGAUAUUCAUUUCCAGCCAUUCAUUUUUCUGUUCACUUGAUGGACAAGAGAACAAUAUCGAAAAUGUGUGUAAUUUGAUUUUCAGAUAGUUUAAAUAGUUUAGAUCAUGUUUAACGGUGUCGAUCAUCAAUUUUGAAGCUCUAUCAUCGAAAACAAAUCGGUAGUAAACCGAACCGUUUACUACCGAUAGUAUUCUAGCAAAACUCUCUCUAUGAGUUUGAUUGGGCUACUAUCGGUAGUAAACUACUCAGUUUAUCGGUAGUAAACUACUCAGUUUACUACCGAUUUGUUUUUGAUGAUAAAGCUUCCAAAUCGACGAUUGGCACUGUUGAACAUGAUCUAGACCAUUUAAAUUAUCUAGAAAUCAAAUUUCGUUUAUUGGGUAAAUUUGCUAGCCAACAAAAUCAAACCAACAAAAACCUACUGUAAUUACUCUCUCUCGCUCUCUUUCACUUGCUCGCAUAAUCACUUUUCCUAAAUUAUUUUUCUUAGCGUUAUGAAAUUGUAUCAUGCAUUUUUUUGUAUGUUAAACUAUUAGGCAUAUUUCUUAUAUCAAAUUUUAAGUAAUGUUUCAUAAAAUUUAAACUAUAGAUUGUAAGAUGUUAAAAUUUUCAAGCGACUCGUUUAGAACUCGAGCUCGCUCGACUCAAAAUUAGGCUUGCUCGAGCUUAAGUCGAAUUAAUUUUAAGUUGAGCCUGAACCUAAAUGUAGGUUCAAAAUUAUGUCCAAUCCAAGCUUGAGCUGAGAUAAGUUCACUCAAGUUCGGCUCAUUUCCACCUCCCAGUAGAGAUAAGCUUGCAGGGUUUUAAAUAAUUGAAAAAGUUAAUAGUGCUUCUAGAAAUUUUUGUCCAGCAAUAGUUUUGUAGAGGCUUCAAUUAAAUGAAUCAAACAAAGAUCUUUUUUUGGCUAUGUUACAAACUGUAUAGUACCUUUAAUUAAGUGUUGUCUUACUAGUGUUAUAUACAUUAGAAGAAAUAUGCUAUGCUAUGCUACUUUUUCUAAUACACUUCUCUUUUCAACAGAAGCAAAAGCUCAUUUACUAUUUAAUUAUUAAUUUGUUUGCGUAUCGCAAUAUGCAAUUGCUCUUGUACGGGCCAUUUGCCCUCGCGGCACUUAACCGUAUACAAUUUCUGUGUUACCGACCGUCCCUAGAGCAAGUGGCAAAGGGCUUGGUGGUUGGUACCUGAGAUCCAAAUUCGAAUCCUAGUUGAUUCACAUUUUCAGCUAAGUUUAUUUCUAAAUGAAAUAAAUGAAGCGGAUAGCGUGCUACCUAUCUCUCAAAAAAAAAAAAAGAAGAAGAAAUCUGUGUUAACAUACGACGAAAUUUGAAAUUGGAGCUUCUGCAUCAAAGUAUGCAUAUAGCAAACAAGCACAAGUUUCUAUUCCUAGGUUAAGAAUCACAUUUUAGUUUUUGUACCGAGUUCUAAAUUUUUUUCGUUUGCUAAUGCUUAAUAAGAGGUACGAGUCUAUAACUGAAACCAGGAGCAAAAAUAGGUAUGCAAUUUCUCCUGUUGUGGGGUAUCACAACGCUUAAUUAUCAUAAUCUGAUUAGAAUUAUUAGUCCCAUACUUGGAUAAAGUCCUAAUAUAUUGGUUUAUAUCGUUCUUAAUUAAUUUAAUCUUUAUACAACUAAAUCUCCUCUCUGAGAUACGCAUUAAAAUAAUAUAUUCCCUUCCUCUCUCAGCUGUUGAUGUUACAUGCCUUUGCAAUUUUGCGCAAGGGUUUGUAGCAUGGCCUUGCACCUAUUCUCGAUCCCUCCAAGGCACGGGACUUGACGCCGGAGCAACACUUAGGCUUAGUUUAGUUCGAUAAUGAAUAAGAACUGCUUAUUUCAGAGAGAGAUAAAGUUCAGAUAUAAGCAUGAAAUAUAAGUGAUAAAGUUCAGAUAUAAGCAUAAAUAUAAGUUUUUGUUUGGAUGAAAAUUAUGCUAUUUCUGAGAAUAAAAUAAAUAGUGUUUGUAUGUUAGAUUGGAAUGGCAAAAAUAAAAAAAAAAUUAUAAUUUUCAAUUAAUAAUAUUUUUUUAUCUAAUUAAUUAAUAUUAAAAUAUUAGUUAAAACUAAUUUAGUAAAUUAAAAAUUUUAUUAGCCAUGAAUAUUGUAUAAAAUUAUGAAAAAAAGAUAUUCAUAGAAACAUCCUGUCUCUUCAGAUUCCUCUCCCUCUAAAAGUGACAUAACAUAGGAAAGGUACGUGAACUAACUCAUUGUCGGAAUACUAAAUCUGAGAUUGAGAAAUAUAAAUGAGAGAAAUAAUAUUUUUAAGUGGGAAAUUGAAGCUUCCGAAUUUGUCACUGAUCAUCUAAUUGUUAGACAAUAUUACUAUCUUUAGAAGAGAUAUAUCGCGCGGUUUGGAUUGAUUUAUUUGGUUUUGGUAAAAAUACUUCUAUUUAGUUUAAAUCGUCUUGAAUUAAUUACUAAAAAUAAGAUAUAAUCAUGAUUAAUUUAAUGUUAAAAAGCAUUAACCUAAGAUAAUAAUAUAAUAUAAUUAAUAUCUCUCAUUAUUUCAUUAUUAUUUAAAAUUAACUAAUACAUAAUAUUUUCCUUCUACUUCUAAGUUCUAACCUUGGUUGCUAAUUAAGAUAGGAACAAGGGACUGUCAUACACACAAUAAGAAUUAGGUAUUAAAAUCAUUAAAUGAAGAUAUAAAUAAUGGCCUAGUGUCUUAUACUGCAAAUUAAUACAUUAAACUUUUCAUUUGUGUGCUAUUCAAAAAAUUAAAUAUCUUAUUUAAUAUAUAUAUAAAAAAAUAUAAAAGCGAAUGAAUUUGGGAAUCUAGUUUACUUAACUUUACUUUAAUAAAAAAAUUGAGCCAAUGAAUAUUCUCUCCAAAAAAAAAAAAAGGUCGAGCCAAAAUAUACGUACCAAAUUUGGUAUAAAUAUAAUACAAAUGCAUAUAUAGAGAAGAAGCCAUGAGCAUGGUGUCUUGAGAGGUAAUACAAACAAGAACAAUUAGAUAACGACGUUGGAGACAACAAUAGAGACAUGCCAACCUGUGGAAAACCCUAAUUUCAUUUACCCAAAAAUGACCGUGGUCGAUCACUAUGUCAAAGUCAUAUAUGAACAAUAAUGGAGGAACCGUCGUAAUAAUAUAUGCUGUGGAAUUAAUAUUAUACAUUAUUUAGGCGCAUUAUGCAAAUUCUGCAGCGACAUCAAAAUAUUUGGGACGUUAAUUGAUGGAAUGUGCUAAAGUUGAAAAUUUUACCCACUAAUUGCUAUCGCCUUAAUUUUAUUGGUGACAAAUUAUGAUGAUGGGACCAUGAUAACUACAAAGCUACAUACCUGAUGUUGCCCAAGUUCUCCAAUGAAAACCAAGUAAGUUAAUGCAUUUAUAUACACUAAUUUGCCCCUAAAUAGACAGUUUUGAAGAGGCCCCUUAACCAUCUUUUAUUUUUUAUUGACACAUUUUAACUUAAUUACUAAUACUUUUUUGUAGUUGAGUUAUUUUAAUUAGUUAAAUUAUUUUUUAAAACCUAUUGGCUCUAUUAGCUGUUAGUUGCAGCUGUUAAUCAUCCUAUAUUUCUCUAUAUAUGGGAUUAAAUUUAAUGGAAUCAUCAAUAAACUCUAGUUUAAUUGAUUAUAGGAAAGAAAUUAAGUUUUGGGGCCCUUCAAUACAUCAUGACAUACAGACGAGGGGUUCCUUAUAUAUCAUAGAGUCAGUUUUUAAAAUUUUUAAAAUUCCAUUGUUCCUCGCCGAAUUAUUUUUGUUGAUGUAUAAUUAAGCACUACUUUAUUUAAUAGAGCAUUAAGCUAAAGAAUUUAGCAUUUUAUAACCUAACUGUAAUGAGGAUAAAUUUCACGACUAUUCCGAAGUUGCUAGAAACGAAAGUUUACAGUUUGAUGCUGAGAAAAUCACAAGCAAUCUUAGUUUUAUACAGUUCGUACACCUGAAUAAUUGCAACUAGACCCAACAUAUCCAUCCAAGGGUCAUUCUCUUUCACAUUAGUUUUAUCAUUUUUUUUAAAAAAAAAUACUGAAAUCCAAGAAGGGUUGUUCACAAACCCUAGCGGUGAGUGUUUCAAUCGGAGGAUGGAGAAUUAUAAUCUUAUUACAAAUUUUUAUGGGGUAUAGAUUUAGCAUUUCCCGUUGUAACGGAGUUGAAUGUAGUGGAGGAGAUCAAUAUGUCACAAAUAUAUAUGAGGUUAAUUUCUUGUGAAAUUUAAAAAGAAAAAAAAUGUAGCUAGGUUUCUAUAUUCUACCUUAUCUAAUUAGUAUGAAAUUUCCCCCCUAUUUGUGUAGUUUAGUUUGUUCCAAUUAAUUAGUUUCAAUCUAAUAUACGUUUAACUGUAUUUAUAAUGUUUUCAAACAAAAAGAUUUUCAAGUUACUCAAAAAGACACAUAUAAUAUAUGUUGGUCAAAAAGACAUAUAUAAUUAAUUUAGAAAACUAAGUGUACUGGAUCAUGAUGCUGCAUAAGAAACAAAUCUAGCCAUUGAAAGAAUCUAUUAAUUUGUGGGCAUUGCAUUUGAUACUCUUCCUCUACGCCAAAUGUUUAGGUGGUGUAUUGUGAAACAUUUUCCUGUGGAAAAAAUAUAUAUAUUCAUGAAAAUGCUUUUUCGAUUAAAAAGUCAAAUUCCUUUUCGUAGCGUGAGUCAAUGAAAUACCACAACUAAUUAAUUCACCUUGUAAAUCACUAUGGACCCUCUAUUUUAUGCAUCUUAUCCAAUUUUUGAAUAUUUUUUAACAGGUGUGUUACAAGCACUUAUUAGGAGAACAUACCCUUCUAUAGUAAAGACCUUGGAGAUAGAUGAUUAAUUAUAAACACAUCAAUUCAAUGGAAAACAAGAAAACUUUUAUACUUGCAAAAUGCUCCUGCUGAAGAUAACCAUGGUUAAAUAUUAAAGAUGCCCAAUAAUGGAGGAAGUGUCAUGAUCAUAAAAAUUGAAUGAGCUAACACUCGAACCUUCUUAGGUGAAUUAUGUAAUGGCGAUCGAGGGACAUGAAGAAUAGUUAGGUACAAUAAUUGUUAUGCAAGGUAUAGCUUGCAUGUUGAUUAAUUGCAUCAAAUUUUCAAAUGUAAUCAAUUAAAGGGAGAUAUAAUUAAUUAAGAUUUCUGUGCGGCGCCUACAGGACUAAUUAAAAAAAUAAAGAAAAAAAAUCACAGAACAUAAUUGUUUCAUAGAUUCAUAAGUUGAGGGGAGUAAUGGCGAUGGGGAAACUUUAGACACUAGAGGCAACCACACUGUCGUAUGCAAAUUUAACCCUACAAAUUGAAUUUUUUUUGUUUGCUAGUAUGCAAGGCAUUUAUUAAUAUUUUGUCUAGUAGUUUGAAGGCUUAUUCUGUGGAGAAACACCUAGUAAUUACGAAAUCCGAGGACCAUUUCAAAAUAGUUAUUUGAGGUCAUUCGAGAGUUAUACUUCGUUGGAAACUGCAUGUCAAUUUUGGUCUUAUCUCACUUAAUUAACAUCGCUCUAGAGUCGUCCAAACUACAUGUCAUCUUACGUAACAUCUCUCUCUCUCUCUCUCUCUCUCUCUCUGUGUGGGGGUUCAGUUGCCUUUCUAUAUGUUCAGCAAAGAGAACCAAAUUAAGAAAAGAGAACUAGCAAUCUACGUAAACAAAUACUAGAUUUUUGUUUGGUUAGUUGUGAGAAGAAAGGUGCUCACUGUGAACAAUCUGCUGAAACGUGGGUGGUGUGGCGAGGAGACUUGUGUUUUCUGUUUGAACGUGGGUGAGACCAUUGAUCACCUCUUCAUGGGUUGUGAUGACACCAAAGCGCUGCUGGAGGUUUUUCUUCCAAAUAAAUCAGGCCUGCGUAAUUGUAUUUCUGCUAGUCUGCUCUGGAAGCUAAGUAGAAGAAAAGAGGGAGCGAUUGGAGGAAAAGAGUCAACAAUCGCCACAACAUGGUGGGUCGUUUGGUUGGAGCGCAAUAGACGAAUCUUCCAGGAAACCAAACGAACGACGAGUUUAUUAGCGUCUGAGAUCCGCUCGCUUAGAAACAUCUAGGAUCUUUUUUGUUAUAUAUAUAUAUAUAUAUAUAUAUAUAUAUAUAUAUAUAUAUAUAUAUAUAUAUAUAUAUAUAUAUAUAUAUAUAUAUAUAUGAUUCUUGCCAAUACCUUCACAGGCCAUAAAGAAGGAAAGGAAUAUUCCCUAUCGGAUCAUCAGAUGCUUAAAAUAUGCUUGUGUGACGAGUUGAGGUGACAUUUUGGAUAUAUUUUUAAUCAAAUUGGGCAACAUUUUGUAUCAUGCUAUGGGCAAAAGAAGAGCACAUCGAAUUUGAAAUCUCAAUAUGUUUGACGCCGUCGUGAAUGCCAGGUAUAUAUGUCUUUUUUUUUUUUUUUCCCCAUUUUUUUUUGCUACGCUUUUAAGGAAAUACCCAUGCGGCUAAUUAAUUAGUGGAAAUUAUUAUAAGGUCUCUCCGUUAAUUAAUAAAUGGAGGACCUUUUUCUCGUAUUAAAAAAUGGAAAGAUUGGUCUCUUACGACUCACAUCAAAUGUCACCCAUUGGAACAAGAAAUCGACCCGAGUGUUUGAUUCUUUUCUUUUCCAUGCUUUAUCAUUGAAAACCCACUAAUUCGGGGGCUAAUUACAACAUUGUUUGUAGGUCCCUAAACAGUUAUUAGUUGUUUCUGCAGUGUUUUCAUAUGAUUUACUAUUCUUAAAACUCUGAAAAUUCAUUUUAACUUUUGCUACUACCAAAACUUUACUUUUGAUUCACAAGUGUUUUAUUUUUAAUGGGUGCAUUAGGGAUGUCAAUGGGUAUGGAACUAUAGAUAUCCGAAAUUUUAUCUGAACCCGAACCCGAACCCAAAUGAAACGGAUAUAUCCGAUGCUAAAUGGAUAUGGAUUCGGAUAUGGAUAUCAAAAAUAGAAACCCGACGGAUAUGAAUUCGAAUAUAGAUUUUGACUGCACCCGACCCGAACUCGAACCCGAUCCGAACCCGAAUUUAUUUUGUAUUAUAUAAUAUAUAUACCCGACCCGAACCCGAACCCGACCCGAACCCGAAUUUAUUUUGUAUUAUAUAUAUAUAUGAUGUUAUAUUUGAAUUUGUAUUUUAAAAAUUUAGAUUUAAUAUAAUGUAUUUUGAAAUACUAAAAAGAAAAAUAAUUGUUUCGGGUUCUAAUUUUCGGGUUCGGGUUCGGGUUCGGGUUUCGGAUUUUUGGUCGGAUUCGGGUUUGGAUAUGAAUUUUUAAAAUCNAUGUUUUAAUAUCUUCUUCAAAGUUUUGUCAUUAUUUUAAUGUGGUUGAAAUAAGAUCGAAUUUUUUGCAACUUUGGAUUCGUUUGAAGCAAAAUCUCUCAAAAUUAAGGAAUUAAUUAUAUAUGGUUGCAAUACAUUUGAGUUUUAUUAGUACAAUGGAGGUCGAGGGCUUACCAUGUAAUCUCAUAGGGCUAUGAUGAAAUAUAUCAAUAAACUCUUUUUUCUACAAUUCUUUUGAGAAUUAUCACAACCUCUUAAUUAGCCAUUUUCAUUGAUUUUUGCUUAGUCAUUUACCUUCCAUAAAUUUUCAAAAGAGUUUAAAAAAUGACCAAAAUGAAAAUCACAACAUGGCACAAGCAAUAGCCAGCCACUAACUACACUACAUCGAUCGUACCUUAAGGGACCUUAAGAUAUUUUAAUAUACUUUAUUCUUUAAAUCCAUGAAAUGUGAAAAGUUCUGAAAAAUCUGCAAAAGUUUAAACAAAAAUAAAACAUCCAAAAAAAUCUGUAGAAAGUUUGUACAAAUUCUAAACCUAGUUUUAAACCUUUUGGUGUGUCCAUAAUAAAGUUCCUUAGAAAGUUCAUAAAAAUGCCUCCUCUAUUUAAUUGAACGCACAUUGCCCACGAGGCGUAAGUAGACAGUUCGUAAUCUAGCUGCUUUGCAUCAUCAGAAGUGCUAACAUAGAACUAGAUAGUGGAGUAGUGGGUUUAUAUUAAUUGUGGAGUUCAUGAUAACUAGUUUUUAGGAGCACAUGUGUAGUCGAUGCAGUAGAGAACAUAUAUUGAUCGAGUUGGAUUUUCUAGAUACUCAAAUUUUAUUCUUCUAUGGGAAUUCUUGUUUAUAAGCUUGUAAUUUACCAAGGUUGUGGGUUAUCUUGACCCUUAAGUUUUAUUCUUCUAUUUAGAUGAUUAGAGGAGGGAGAGGAAAGAAGAAAUAUUGGCUCAAUUUCAUUAACGAAUUGAAUUAAACAGAUUAUAAUUAGAGGUCCAAAUUAUAAUUAAGGCUCGGACUCCUACUCCGAUUAUGAUAGAACAUAAUAAGUGCUACCCAUAUCAGUAGUGAUACUCCUCUAAAUAUGUACUUUCUUUUUAUGGAAAGUAAAUCCAACUACAUCGUAUCUGAAAAGAGCAAAUGGAGUAUAUCGAAAAUCAACAAUUAAACAAGCUCCUAGUUUCUUUGAAAUGAAAUGAUAUUUAUGAUUGAAGUUUUUUAUAAAUAGAAUUUCUAAGUUUGACCGCAAAUUCAUAGGUCUAAACAACCUUCUUCGAUUGCCUCGAAAUUGUUUAUCAUGAUCUAAGGUUUUAUAAAUAGGAAUUCUAAGUUUGGCAGCAAAUUCAGAGGUCUAAACAAUCUUUGAUUGCCUCGAAAUUGGUAACGAACUUAGUCAGUCUUUAAUUUCGCACUAUGUUCGACCGUUGCGCGCCGUAGCUUAUACUCCUUGACCUGCGCACAUCGAUACAAAAGUCCCCUUGAUCAAAAACCAUGGGAACAAGAUAUAGUCUUUGAACGUUGAUGGCCUUUCCUGCGUAAGUUCUCGUCAAGUUGAUUGAGCCUGAUCACUUAGCCUCGAUGUCUCUGUCGAAACCAGACCUAACCAAUUACACCCUCAAUUUGGGAAGCUAUUCCCUCAUCAAUCCUUCUUGUGUUCAUGAAAUGGAGAAAAACCGAUGAAGCGUUUUGAGGGUAGUAAUGAGAGUAGAUCGACAUCGGCUUGAUGAGGACAUUGGCAAUGGCGGUGUGGACAAUGAGGAGGAUUGAUCGCAAUCGGCGAGUACGACGAGCAGCGAUGUGAUUGGGAAUCAAACUCUGAUAAUAAUUGUUAGGGUUGGUUGAUUCCUAAUGCUCUUGCAGCUAAUUGGGCCUUUACGAGGUGGUAUUCCUACUUCUAGUUUAUGAGUAAUCAAAUUAACUAUGCUACUCUUAAUUGCUGGCUUAGAUGGGUCGGCAUCAAACAGUUCUACAAGUGGUAUCAGUGCAGGUCAUGGGUUCAAUUGCCGUACGCUACAAAUUUAUGCUCGUGUUUCGGAGGAGGGGAGAUUACUGGCUUAAAUGGGCCAACAUCAAGUAAUUGUGGGAGAUUGGGCCAAAUUACAUUUAAAACGGCAGAAGGCCGAGUAGAGCUGACUCACGUUUCAAGUGUCUAAAGACCGUGUUAGUCAGAGUUACAAUCAAAGCCAGGUGCUAUAUGCAUUUACACUUUAAGUGAAUUAGUUGCGUUGAUCUUUAGUUGCAUUAUUUUUUCUAAUAGCGCGAACUUGUAGAAUUAAUGAUUAGGUCCAACAAUCCUAUAUUAAUUAAUUUAGAAGCACGAUUACAUGCAAUCAUCCUAUUUUAAUGGCCCAAAUAUCAUAGAGUUCUGGUAUUAUAAGGAAUCUUAAUAAAGAACUUUGUGUAAUAAGAGUUAUGGUAGUAAUUAAGAUACUGUUAAGACUAAUACUACAAUUUGUACCAGACACGUUGGCCAAUCCGUAUCGUGAUAUAUUUCUAAUAAAAAUAUUGACCAAGUAUCACUAUAAGAAAAUUAAUAUUUAAGGAUUUUUUUUAUAUUUAACGAUACUUAAAAGCGUCCUAAUAUAGUGUAGUGUCAUAUUUGAAAGAGUCGAUUAAAACAUCGGUAAAUGAAGAGUCGCCACGUAUAUCGUCAAGCAUCAGUAAAAUAUAUUCUAAUGCUUUAAAGUAUCAGAAGUUUUUAAAAUCCUAAUGCUUUGAAGCAUCAAAAAAUUAAAAAUAAUAAUAAAAUUUAUUAUUUAAUAAAUUAAUUUAAUAUAAUAAAAAAUUCAUAUAGUGAUACUUUUUGAAAUGUCGGUAUUUACUAUAUUAUAGAGACGCUUGGAAAUAAAUAUAUGUCAUCCAAAAUAUCUAUCUAGUUCUAGGUGCGGUACAAGAUAGGAAUUAACCAUUAGAUAAAUAUAGGUACCCAUCAAAUAUAGAUUGAAAAUUUAAUCCGCUAAAAAUAUAGUAAUCGAACUCAUGAGGCUUAGAAUUAGUUCUUAUCAUGUUACACGAAAGAUAGAAUUUAUUUAUGAGAAUAUUCAUAUGACAAAAACUUAAUACUUUUUUAUUUUACAAUUAUAGUACAUAGUGUGAAAAAUUACUACAACAAAAACGGUCUAUAGCAACAUUUUUAAAUGUCGGUACAGGUCAAAAAAAAGACUGCCGCCUAAAUUACCGACAUUUUUAAAAACUGUUGCUAUAUGUGGGAUCGCUAGGUAUAUAAUAACAGUUAAAGAGUGUCGCUAUAACCUAACAAAGUGCUGCUAAUUUACAAAUAUUUAUUUAAGCAUUUAGCAGCCGCCGGAACUCUACCUCGUUGGCCGCGGUGGCGAAGGAGGACGAGAGGAAGAGAUCUUCGUUUAGGAUUUCAGUCGAUUGAGUGAGGGGAGAAGGAGAAAUGAUAAUCGAUUUUUCUUCUCUUUUUCUUUUCUGUUUGUAAUCGGGCUGAAUGGGCUGGGUGGGGUGGGUUGAAUAGAAUAACCUUUUAUUUUUUGUUGAAUUGAACUUUAUAUUUAGACAUUAGUAGAUUUUUUUUUAAGUUUUGACAUAAAUUAAAAACUUACACAAAAAUGUUCCAAACAUGUGUCCCUAUAAUCUAAUUCUGUUGUACUGAAUUGAAAUACAAUCUCCCACAAAAUAGCAGAUGGUAGCAACUGCCAUGCUCCUCGAUCGGAGAAAGAACUUAACUAAGAUUUUCUUUGCCUGUACGUUAUUAAUUUCUACUUUACAAAUAUACAUAGCAACUAUAUAUAUAAAGAGAGAGAGGGUUGAGCUGGAAUAUUACUAUCGGUAGUAAACGUGCUCCAUUACCACCUAUUUGUUUUCAAUAAUGGAGCUUCCAAAUCGACGAUUGGUACCGUUGAAAAAUGAUCUAUACUACUUAAAGUAUCUAGAAAUCAAAUUUCAUACUUUUUCAAUAUUAUAUUCUUGUCCAUCAAGUAGGCGUAAAAAUGAACGACUGAAAAUGGCUAUCCUCUAAAAAGUGAUGAUAGGAAUUUUCUAAUCAAGAUCGAGAGUAUAGAUCUUGGUCUAAAUAGUUUAAAUAAUUUUCUUAUCAAAACUCAAUUGAUUUGGAUAGCUUUACACCGUUAAACGAAAAAACGUCUCAUAUCGACCAUUAAAAUUACAAAUUUUGUAAUCCUUUGAUCAUUUGGUCAAUGAUAUCAAAAAGAUUUGAAAUUUGGUUUCCAGAUACUUCAAGCGAUAUAGAUCAUGUUCAAUGGUGUCGAUCAACGAUUUGAAGGUUCUAUCAUCGAAAACAAAUGGGUGGCAACGGAGCCCGUUUACUACCGUUAGCAUUCCAGCUCAACUAUAUAUAUAUAGUGUAGAGCUACUAUGCUAUCAGAAGUAUAGAGGGUUUUAUGCUUCCGACUUUUUGACCCUUGGAUUAAGAAUUGUACGAUUGGGAAGAUUGCGGUCCCCCGUAGGGUUGAGUAGUACCCCUAGGAUUGAGUGAUCCCCACAGUAAUAGAAGUAAUCCAAAGGCUAGAAAUAAUCAAAGAGAUUAAUCUAAGGGCCAAAAAGUCAGAAGCACCGGAUCCUCUGUACUUCCGAUAGCAUAUUAGCUCUACUCUCUCUCUCUCUCUCUCUCCAUAUAUAUAUAUAGAGCUAGGCUGGUAUACUAUCGGUAGCAUGGAGCCCUCCGUGCUACCAAGUUGUACUCAUAAGUUUUUGGCCGUUUGAUCUACCCUUUAAUCAUUUCACCCGUUAUAUUAUACUAUUCAACCAACCACCUACUCAACCCUAGGGGGCCCACUAUCAACCUAACCGUAACCACUUUCAUCCUAUCCGCACAUUUUUUCAUCUGAACGGCCGAAAAGUUAUAAGUACAAAGGGCUCUAUACUCAUAUGAGUAUAAUAGCCCCAGCCUAUAUAUAUAUAUAUAUAGAGAGAGAGAGAGAGAGAGAGAGAGUAGGUCUUGUGUGCUUUUGGGAAUACGGAGGCAUCCGUGCUUCUAUGCCAUUUUCGACGAUGGAGCUUUUGAAGCCAUGAUCUGCUCUAUUAGACUUGAUUUAGUGGAUUUGAAGUACCUAGUGAUCGAAAUGGUUUAAAGUCAACGGCUGAAAAUAAAAAUCUCAUAAAAAAUGACGAUAUAAUACUAAAAUUUUCGAUCAAAGAUAUUGAUCUUGCAGUAAUAGUAUAAAAAAUUUUCUAUAAAAAUUUCGACUGAUUUGAAGUUAAACGUGCAAACGAUAUACGUCAACCAUUAAAAAUUGUUGAUUUUUAAUCCUUUCGAUCACUAGGUAAAUGAUAUCAAAAAUCGUAAAAUUUAUUUUCUAAAUACUUCAAAUAUAUUAGAUCAAGUCUAAUGGAGCAGAUCGUCGAUUCGGAAGCUCUAUUAUCAAAAACAGCUUAGGAGCACAGAGGCCUCCGUACUUCUAACAGCACACAAGACCUACUCUAUAUAUAUAAUUGAGCUCCUAUACUCUUAUGGUAUUAAGUUAUUGGUGUUUGUAAGUUUUCGGUCCAUGGAUUAAGAGAUGUACAGUUAGAAUAAUAGUGGUCAUCAAGGGUUGAGUGUUGGUUGGUUGAGUAAUAUGAUCAAAUAGAUAGAAAUGAUCAAAAGAAUAGCUCUAACGGUAAAAAUUACAAGUANUAUGAUCAAAUAGAUAGAAAUGAUCAAAAGAAUAGCUCUAACGGUAAAAAUUACAAGUACUAAGUGCUUGGUGCUUUUAAAAGCAUCAUAGCCAAUAUAUAUAUAUUUAUAUAUAUAUAUAUAUAUAUAGAGAGAGAGAGAGAGAGAGAGAGAGAGAGAGAGAGAGAGAGUUAAGCUGAAAUGCUAUCAUUAGCAAACAGACUCCGUGGCCACCCUUUUUUUCAAUGAUGAAGCCUGUAAAUCGAUGAUCGACAGUAACUCGCAAAUACCAGGCAAUAUGAGACUCAUCUCACUGACCUUAAUCGAUCUUGUAAGAGAGCCGCGCUUUACCCACAACAGUCAUCAACAUAAGAGUCUCACUCUUUCUGCUGUAUUACGGGACUCAGCCGAGACUCAUCAUACACUUACGACCGGUAAUUAGCUCUGAUAUCAAUUAUGACGCUCCACUUCCUAUGGAUCAUCUAUCUUAAAACUAUUCUAGUCCUAACACACUUAACAAUUUUAAUCUUUUGGGCCUAACUGUCGCCCAAAAUUAUAUAGCCGAGUUAAUAAUUUUUAACCUUAUUAUAUCUUAUAUAUAGGAUUACUUGUUCUCACAUUAAAAAUAUUGAAUUUAAACAUUUACCAACAUUAACUUUUUUAAACAGUAAGAUAAAAUAACACCUUUAUCUUUUAUUAACCAAUGAUUAAUUCUUUUUAUUUUUUAAAAAAUAAAGUACCGAAUUUUUUCUCAAUAUCAAAUCCAUAAAAAUACUCGUCCAUGGGCCUACCUCAUGAAUUAUUUGUGUACUUGACACGCGCGAUAAUGACCCACAAUUAAUGAGUCACCAUCACCUCUCAAAUUGAAGUUGGCCCCAUUACAGAUCUAGGAAAGAAGAACCUUACUUCUCUCCACCCAACUCCCAAAAAUACUUAAAACUUUAUAAAAAUUAGGAUUCGGAUGUUAUAAUUGCUUUUUGUUGCCUUCUUCGAAAUAGCUUGCCCUUGUCGACGUGCCGUAUCCACGAAAAAUCUGUAUGAUUUAUCACCGCAUGUUUUUCAGGUGCGUCGGGCGGGAUGGAGCUUGAUGCAAAGUGAGGAAUCCACAAAAGAAAUAAAUAAGAGAUAAAAUCUCAAAAUAUAAGCUGGUUUAUUAAUUCAUGCAACUUCAAUUUUAGUACCCUUUUUUUUUUGGCAUGCAUGUGCUCUGCUCUAAAACUCUCCAAAAUAGCACAAGGCUCAAGUCACGCAAAAGUCCUAAGAUAUGCGCACAACCCACUGCGAACAGAAAUAACAGCUUAACGAGUUGAACAUAUAAAAUUCUAAAAAGAUUCUAAAGAAAAGUGAAGGAUAAUACAACAUAUGCAUCUUGCAGUUGCAUUGAGUUUUGCACAGCAUUAUACAAACUCUGAACUUUGCAACGCCUUGUACAAACUCCGAACUGUGUUGCACAAGUAAAAUUUUUAGGCGUACACAGAUACUGCACAGAGUUGCACAAUUGUUCCACAAAGUUGCAUUAGUUUAUCGCUGUAUUUGUACAAGUACUCUAAACUAGGGGUAUCAACGAGUCAAACACAUGCUGACUCGUAAAAAUAUUGAGUCAAAAAAUUUAGCUCGUAUUAGGCUCAUUUAUUAAUGAGCCAAAGCCGAGAUUGCUUACAAAAGUUAAAAAAAUUAAAAAGAAUAUAUAUAUAGAAAAUAAAAUUUUUAGAUCUUACCUAUUAAAUUUUGACGUAAUUCUUAAAAUUUUAUAUAUAAAUGAGCUUUUUCAUAAUUGAGUUGUGAUUUAGGUUAGACUAAAAAUCAAAUAAUAAAAAUUUAUAUUAUCUAUAUAUAAUUAUGUAUUAUUUAUAUAUAUAAAUAUAAAAUAUAUGUAUUUGAGCUAUUAACGGGCCGAACGCAAGCGAGCUGAUCCAGCUCAUAUUCGGCCCAUUUAUUAAACGAGCUGAAAAAUUCAACUUAUAUUCGGCUCGUUUACUAAACAAGCUAUUCGAUAUCAAGCUCAUUUCGAGCGAACACAAACUGGCUCGCAAACAACGAGCUGAAUUUCCACCCCUAACCCAAUCUGCUAUGGCGUCACCCCCUCCGAAGCAGCACAAACUUCUCAAGGAAGGAAGGUAUAAUAAACCGUUCCUCACUUCUUUAAUAUUAGUACAUUAUAUUACACUAUCUAUUACCAUAAAACUUCAAGCUACCCCACAACAUCAUAAUGGAUUUGAAAGUAAAUUUCAAACUAGGAAGAUUAUUCUUAUUUUUAAAUUGUGCGUAAUUAAAUCUCACAUCCAACCAAUCCAAAAGUUUAGCGAACUCUUUUAAAUUUUUAAUAUUAAUAAAACUAAAAAGUGAUGAGACUCAAGUGCAUGAAAAAAGAGCUUUUGGAUGAAGAAUAUAUAAAAUUUAUACCCACUUUUAGGUGUAACCAUUGCUCUUUCAUUUUUGUCCGCAUACCGAAUAAAAUACAAUUCAAGCAAAAUAACUAAUCAUACUAUCUAAAAAAUAUAUACAUGUCAAAAUAAUAACUACUAUUAUUAAAAAUUAAUGAUAAUAAUAAUUAUAUUAUAUAUAUAUAGAGAGAGAGAGAAUAGGGCUACUGUGCUCUUAGUAGUACGGAGGCCUCCAUAGUCCUAAACCAUUUUUCAUCAUAAAAUUUUCGGAUUGACUAUCGACUCCGUUAGACUUGAUCCAAUGUGUUUGAAGUACAUCGAAAAUAAAUUUUAUCAUUUUUUUGAUAUCAUAAACCUAGUGAUCAAAAAAUGUUCAAAAUUAAUGACUGAAAAUAAAAUCUCAAAGAAAUUAAUGAUAUAACAUUAAAAUUUUCGAUCAGAGAUAUUCAUCUUGUUGAAAAUCGUAUAAAAAUUUUAUAUCAAAAUCUCAUCUGAUUUGAAUACUUCUACAUCGUUAAACUUGAAAACGACAUACAUCAACCAUUAAAUAUUAUUAAUUUUGAACCCUUUCGAUCUCUAGGUAUGUAAAUAAUAUCGAAAAAUCAUAAAUUUUAUUUUAUAGAUUUUUCAAAUACAUUAGAUUAAGUCUAAAUAAGUUGAUCGUCGACUCGAAAGUUUUAUCAUCGAAAAUGAUUUAGGAGUACAGCACUCUUACUCUCUCUCUCUCUAUAUAUAUAGAAUUAUGCUACUAUAUAUACUAUCGAUCAUAUCAAGGCUUGAUAGUAUUGAGUUUUUGGCCGUUGGAUGAAAGAAUGUGCGGUUAGGAUAAUAGUGGUCUAUAUAUAGAAUUAUGCUACUAUACUAUCGUACCAUACGUUUAGUACUAUCGAGUUUUCAACCGUUGGAUAAAAAGAUAUACGAUUAUAAUGAUAAUAGUCCCCUAGAGUUGAGUGGGUGGUUGGUUGAAUAGUAUAGUCUAACGUAUAAAAAUGAUUAAAGAAUAAAUUGAACAGCAGAGAAUUUGAUAGUAUCAAAAGUUUAAUAUUAUCGAUAGUAUAGUAACACAAUUUUCCCUCCCCUCUCUCUCUCUCUCUCUCUCUCUCAUCUUCUCUUCAUCUCCGUCCUCACUCUCUCUCUCUCCUCUCGCCCCUUCUCUCACCUCCCUAUAAUAUAUAAUAGUAUAUUAUAUAGUAUAUAUUAUAUUUAUAUAUAAAAUUGAGGUUCUAUGCUUUUAAAAGUACCAAAGUUAUUGCGUGCUUUAUAGAUUUUUGGCCAUUGGAUUAAGGAUGAGCCUCGUGGUUAGGAUGACGUGGGCCUCGCUAGGGUUGAUGUGGGUGGUUGGCUUGAAAUAGUAUAAAUGUAAGCGAUUUGAUAAAUGAUCAAAGGAUAAAUCUAACGGUUAAAAAUUUUACAAGCGCAAAGUGUUGAGUGCUUUUAGCAAGCCACCGUAGCGCGAGUUCUAUAUAUUAUAUAUAUAUAGAGGAGAGAUGAGACGAGAGAGAGAGAGGAGAGAGAGAGAGUUGAAGGUAGAUACUAUCUGAUAGCAAACGAGGCUUUCAUUGCCAUCAUGUUGUUUUCGAUGAUAUGAGCUCCAAAUCGACGAUCGUACCGUUGAACAUGAUUCUAUUUACCACUGAGUGUUAGAAUCAAAUUCAAAUCUUUUUCGACAUCAUUUAUGCCCUAAUGAUUCAAAGGGUUUCAAAAUUUAUAAUUUUAAGGCAUAAUAUGAGACGUUUCUCGUUUACAGAUAAAAGAUAUCCCAAAUCAAAUUAAUUUUGUUAGAAAAUUCUUUAAAUUGUUUAAAAAAGUAUCUAUACUCUUAUCUUAACUACAGCUCCUUAUCAUCAUUUUUAAAAAUAUUUAUUUUCAGCCGGUCAUUUUUGUGUCACUCGAUGAUAAGAGAAGCAAUAUCGUAAAUAUAUAAAAUUUGAUUUCUAAAUAAUUUCAAGUGGUAUAGAUCAUAUUCAACGGCUGCCGCGAUUAUUGAUUGAAGACUCCAUCAUUGAAAACAAUAUGAAGUGGCAACAGACGCGUUUGCUACGCGGAUAGUAUUUAGCUCAACUAUAUAUAUUACUAUAUAUAUAUUAUAUAUAUUAUAUAUAAUAUUAUAUAUACUAUAAUAUAUAUAUAUAUAUAUUAUAGAAAAUUAGCUGGACAAUAACUAUUAUAGUGAAAAGCUUGCUUUUUGGCUAUCACAGUUUUUAACCUCUUGAUGAAAAUUCUAAAGUCAGGAUUGAUAUUAGUCGUUAGGUUGAGGUGGUCCCCACUGGGUUAUAGUAUUUAAAUCCAAUGGUUAGAAAUAAUGAAAAGAUUGCAUCCAAAGGCUUAAAACUGUAGAACAUGGAAUUUUGCCUACUAAUAGUGCCCAUUCCAGACACUCUUAAUAUAUUAUAUAUAUAUAUAUAUAUAUAUACUAUAUAUUAUUAUAUAUAUAUAUAUAUAUAUAGAGAGGACGAAGACGACGAGAUCAUGAGAGAUGAGCACAGCUCGACCGUCCAGGCCCGAUUCUUCCACGGCCCCAUCUGUUCUGUCUUCUGCUCAGCUUCGUUCCUCAUCCUCGGCUCCUAGCGCGAAGACCACUUCGGAUCUGCCGCUCGAUUGACAUAGAGCCGCGUCGUCCUCGGGGCCUCCUCGUCUGCGUAUCGGGGGCCCUACUUUUCGCCCUUCGAGACCGGAGAGAGAGAGAGAGAGAGAGAGAGUUUGACUGGGCUACUAUUGGUAGUAAACUGCUCGGUUUACUACCGAUUUGUUUUUGAUGAUAGAGCUUCCAAAUCGACGAUCGGCACCGUUGAACAUGAUCUAGACCAUUUAAAUUAUCUAGAAAUCAAAUUUCAUAAUUUUUUGGCAUCACUAACUGAACGAUCAAAGGGUCACAAAAUCUAUAAUUUUAAUAGCUGAUAUGGUGCGUUUGCUCGUUUCACGGUAUAGAAAAAUUCAAAUAAACUAAAUUUUUGUGAAAAAAUUCUUUAAACUAUUUAAAAUAAGAUCUAGACUCUAGAUCUCAAAUAUAAAAAUUGUAUCAUCACUUUUUGAAGGAUAUUCAUUUCCAGCCAUUAAUUUAUCUGUUCACUUGAUGGACAAGAGAACAAUAUCGAAAAUUAUUGAAAUUUGAUUUCUAGAUAAUUUAAAUGGUCUAGAUCAUGUUCAACAGUGCCGAUCGUCGAUUUAGAAGCUCUAUCAUCAAAAACAAAUCGGUAGUAAACCGAGCAGUUUACUACCGAUAGUAGCCCAGUCAAACUCUCUCUCUCUCUCUCUCUCUCUCUCUCUCUCUCUCUCUCUCUCUCUAUAUUUAUAUAUAUAUAUAUAUAUAGUCCGGCUAUGGUGCUUGUAAAAGCACAAAACACUUAGUGCUUGUAAAUUUUUUAUCAUUAGAUCUCUCCCUUUAAUCAUUUUUAUCCAUUGGAUUAUACUAUUCAACCAACCGCCCACUCAACCCUAGAGAUCUCACAUCAUCCUAACCGCACAUCCCUUAAUCCAAGGGCCGAAAAAUUAACAACCACCAAUGACUUAAUACUUUUGAAAGCAUAGGAGCUCAAUUCUAUAUAUAUAUAUAUAAAGAAUUAAGCUCCUAUACUUUUAAAAGUAACAAGUUAUUGGUGCUUGUAAAUUUUUAGCCAUUGGAUCAAGAGAUAUGCGGUUAGGAUGAUGUGAACCCCCUAGGGUUGAGUGGGUGGUUGAUCGAAUAGUAUAAUCUAAUGGUUGAAAAUGAUCUGAAAAAUAGAUCUAACGGUAAAAAACUUACAAGUACCAAAUGCUUGGUACUUUUACAAGCACCAUAGCUGGACUAUAUAUAUAUAUAUAUAUAUAUAUAGGCAGGAGAGAGCGGAGAGAGAGAGAGAGAGAGAUGAGAUGAGACAGACGAGAGAGAGAGAGAGCGAGCGGCCUAGGAAUGUUAUGGAAGCACGGAGGGCUCGCGUGCUUCCACUGUUUUCGAUAGUUUGGACUUUCGAAUCGACGAUCGGCUUCGAUUAGACCUGAUCUAGAGUAUUUGAAGUACCUAGAAAUAAUUUUUGCGAUUUUUCCGAUAUCAUUUGCCUAGUGAUCGAAGUGGCUCAAAAAAUAAAAAUCUUACAAAAUAGUGAUGAUAUGACAUUAAAUUUUUAGAUCAACAGUUAUUGAUCUUAGUUUUAUAUGGUAUAAAGAAUUUUUCUAUCAAAAUUUCAUGCGAUUUGGAUAUUUCUACACCGUUAAACUUGCAACCGGCUUACCACGGCCAUAAAAUUAUUGAUUUGAACCCUCGAUCACUAGGCACAAUGAUAUUGAAAAAUCACAAAAUUUAUUUUCUAGAUACUUCAAAUAUCUAGAUCAACUCUAACGGAGCCGAUCAUCAAUUCGAAAGUCGAACAUCGGGAAACAACUUAAAAGCACGGAGGGCUCGUGCUUCUAUAAACAUACCAGCCCAUAUUAUAAUAUAUAUAUAUAUAUAUAUAUAUAUAUAUAUAUAUAUAUAUUAUAUAUAUUAUAUAUAGAGGGUGGAAUACUAUAAUAGUAAAAACACUUUUUUUACUAUCAAGUUUUUAACCUUGGAUAAAAAUUGUACGGUCAGGAUGAUAUUAUGUCGCGUUAGAGUUAAUGGUCCCCCUAGGGUUGAGUGGUCUCUACGGGGUAUAGAUUUAUAUCCAAUGGUCAGAAAUAAUGAAAGAGUUGAUCCAAUGGCUAAAAACUGCUAGCAACAUAGAAUUUGUACUAAUGUAUCCCAGUUCACUCCUCUCUCUCUCUCCUCCGUCUCUCGUCUCUCUCUCUCUGAUAUAUAAUAAUAUAUAUAUAUAUAUAUAUAUAUUUUCUUAUGCUUUCCCAGCAUCAAUUUCGAGGAAAGGAACAUCACGAAGCAACUACCGGGCCGUUCACAGAACGACUGGCAGGUUGUACUAGAACGAGUGGGUGCCACUACCGCAUGCCAUGUGACUGCACCAAUGACGCGAUUAUUCCCGAUUGCGACGCCUCAUUUUGGUGGAUUCAGAUCUACAGCCCCCACCUCACUUGCAUUAUUGGCAUCUUAAUUAAUUUAUCUCCCCAGCUUAAAUCUAAGGAAAAAAAAAAAAGAAUCUCCCAAAAAAAAGAAUCUAAGAUAUAGUAUUCGUGAUGUCAAGUUUGAAGAAGCCUCGUUAUUUCACAUUUUCAACUAUAUUUAUUUAUUAAAAUUAUGAACUUAGCAUACCAUCUUUUUCUCUUAAAUAAAAAAUUAUUUUUUUGAUUCACAGUCUCUAAUUAGUUUCGAAUGCCUUUUAUUUGACUAAUUAUUGAAACAGUGAUUUUCGAUGCAUUGAUUUUGUUCGGAGAGUUGCUGUUAAGCGAAAACUUGUAAAAUAUUUGGCUGAUGAAUCUGAUAGAAAAAUAAAUUUUGCUUAAAAUAAUUUUGUCUAGACGUUUGAGAAACUCUUCUUUUGUUGUUUUCACAUAAUAAUUUUUUGUGUCGAAUUUUAUUUUAUUUUAUUUUUAAAAUUAUAACUUAAAGUCUAAAUUUAGAUCUAAAUUAAAAUUAGCAGGGAUAAUAAACAAGCCCUGAUGUUUAACAUAAGUAGCACCAAAUUAAUUAGCACACACCUCAUGGCGAUUCCUUCUUUGGUUUUUUUUUUUUUUUUUUUUUGAUUAGUCUAUUAUUGAGCUCUACGUUUUCUUAGGCCUGUUUGGUUUGUGUGUAAAUCUUUUUGCUAUAAUUUUUUUUAUUUUUAGAAUAACUUGUUAUUUUAGGAUAGUCACAAAUAAAAAUAAAACUAUGUUUGGUUUAUAAAACUGUUGUUCUCAGUAAUAACUAAAAAUUUUUUUUUUUUUUGAGAGAUAGGUAGCACGCUACCCGCUUCGUUUAUUUCAUUUAGAAAUAAACUUAGCUGGAAAUGUGAAUCAAUUAGGAUUCGAACUUGGGUCCUGGGUACCAACUAAAAUUAUGUUUGGUUAAUUUUGUAGAGGAGUAGAGAAAAGUAAAAAAUAUAUAUAAUUAUUAAAUUUUUAGAGCGCCAAGUUUGCCCUUCCCUUUUAUCUAAAAAAUAUGCUUAUACUUCGCAAAAAAAAGAUAUAAUUAAUAUAAUACUAUAUAAAGAAACAUUUGAACUAUAUAUACGUACCCAUCGUUUCCAUUAACCUAUUAUUAAUCAAGUAUCAUGCAUUUUUGAAGUUCUUUCCACACAAUUCAAAUCAUUCGUAUUUAAUUAGUAUUGGCUAAUACCAUCUCACUAAAUCUGGUUUCGUUAGAGGUUGCUUUUAUGUUGAAUGCGAGAUACCCAUUCUAAUUAAUAAAGCAUGUAUUUAGCAAUUAAUCUGUUAAAAUUCACUACUUUAUGUAUUUGAACUCUGAUGGAAUUACAAAUUUUCAUCAACUAUUAACGAUUUUUAGCCAAUAAAAUAAUUAACUAAAACAAAUUUGUAACUCAACUAAGAAAAAUAACUUACGUAAGCUUGAAGAGAAGGCCUUUAUUUUUAAUAUCCAAUUAAAAAUUUUUCACGUCACACACAAGCACAAGAACAAUUUUUUUGCAACUAUUAUUUUCAGAUAAAAUUAUCAUAUUAUUCUUUAUUAAACUCUUUACUAUCUUAUGUGGCGAAUAUAAUUAAUUUUAGAUAUAUCUAUAUGAUAUUGCUGCGCUAUAGAAAAGAUUUUUUAUAUUUUGUAGGUACUCUUUUGAGUUUCUCUAGUUGCAUUGCUUAGGUCUAAAGGUAACAAUUCCAAGAGUUCUUAAAUAUAUAGCAAGUUAUCCAACCAGCUACCCGCUUCGUUUAUUUUAUUAAUGUUAAAUAUAAAAAUGUUUAAACACCGUUAUCUAACAGCUUAAGCUUUUAGAGUACAACGGUUGUUUCACAUGGUAUCAGAGCAGGAGGUCCUGAGUUCGAGUCACGCCAGACUCCUAGCAUAUUAAUUUCCUCCCAUUUAAUUCAAGCCCACGUCAUGGGCUGAUUAAAAAGUUUCGAGCCCAGACGUGAGGGGGAGUGUUAAAUAUAAAAAUGUUUAAAUACCGUUAUCUAACAGCUUAAGCUUAAUAAACUUUAACUGAAAAUGUAAAUCAACUAGAAUUCGAACUUGGAAUCUCAGGUACCAAACAACAAACCCUUUACCACUUACGUACUCAAGAUCUUAUUCAAUGCCAUAAAUAUGCACAAUUAAACUUGACAAAUUUUCUACAACAAUAUAUAUACUCUAUAUUUAUAUAUUCUCACAAUAUGAUAAAUCACUUUAAUCUAUAGUUCAUGAAACGUCAAAAUUAAUUGUUAAGAUUUCAUAAUAGUCAAAAAUGUAUAUCUUCGGCUACACAUAAUAUCACCAUGCCAGUUCGAUAAGUUGCUCCCACAUCCAAAUUAAUCCUUAUGCUCUAUAUGGGAAGUAACAAUUAAGUUACUUAGCAUUUCGAGUGUGUUAUUUUCCAAUGCACAAUAAAUGGUAUAUAUUUCAAGCUUAAAAGGCCACAAGUGUAGCUAUCCAAUGUUACACAUAAUCUCCUCUCUUCUAAAGAAGAUGCCAAUUGAAGCCGCAGCAAAUUAAAGGAUAAGAAUGAGUAGAAACUAUAGAAAGAAGAAGACCACACGCCACAAAGUGUUUGAAUGCAACAAACUUAUACAAUAUAAAAACAUGUGAUGUUACGCAUAAAAACUUUAUGUUGAAUGCGACAGCCGAUAACUAGCUAGCUAUUUUCAUGUAAGUCUAAACUCAAAUGAAAGAUGCACUAAAGGCUUAAUUUGAGUAUAUAAUUUGUCACUGGUAGCAAAAGGAUAGAUUUGUAAGCCUUAUUAUUAGUAAUAUUCAUUGCUUGUAACAAAAGGGUGAAAUGUAUGAAUGCCUUUGACGAUUCCUAUGCUAUCCCCAUAAUGGACUUUUGUUUCUGAUCAUUAAAAGAAAUUAGACUUUUAAGCAAAAUGACAAGCUAAAUAAGCAAAUUAUUAUGAUAGAUCCAUAAAACAAAAAAUAAUUAGAUAUUUUUCUAUGUUAGGAGAUAUAAAUAUUUUUAUGAAAAGUAUAUAUAGCAAGUAGGAACUAUUGGGAGGAUAGCUAGGACAAGUACUAUAUAUCCAUAAAUUUUACCUUUAGCUAAGAUAGCAAGUUAAUUGUGACAUGAAAAAUGAAACGGAUCGCGUCCUAACAAUAUUUCGUCACAUAAUUUAUCAAAACUUACUAGCUUUCAAUUAGAUGUAUCAAUUAAAUCUUUUCUUUCUUCUUUUUUAGUGUGAAGUAAGAGGCCUAGUGCCCUUUGCAUCUCUCUCUCUCUCUCUCUCUCUCUCUCUCUCUCUCUUUAGAGUCAAGCAAACCUAUUUUCACAAGUUAAUGUCACAUAGUGCUUCCUCAAAAUUGGCCAAUCCUACCAAACAACAUUAAUGCAAGGGAUAAGAUUCCCAAUCCUUUUCCCAAAGUCCUGGGUCAGGUAUAGUGUGAUAGAUCAACAAGAUUUGGCAUGUAGUGAAUUCACAAAUUAAUUGAGAGGUGCCACAAAGGUGCAUGCAAUUUGCCCCCAUAACUUUCCUUUUGUCCUGAGACUUGUGGCACUGAACUACGUACUGAGACAUGUGGGACUCAACUAUUGAUCACUGGUGAUCAGUAACGAUCGAUUUGGUUUGAUGCUCUUCCAGUGCAAAGGUGUAAAAAUAAUAAUAAUAACAAAAGGAAAAAAAAUGAUUACUUACUAGUUUAAUUAUGUAACUAUUGGAGCUAGAAAUGGAAAAGAAAGGUUAAAGUUACAUGUAAAUUAAAUCAAGUAAUUACAGGAGCUAAUUCUUUGGUGUAACAUGACAGCAAAAAUGAACGAAAAUAAUAAAUGUUUGGAAAACAUAUUCAGAGCUAGGCAACAUUUUAUAUAUAUAUAUAUAUAUAUAGAGUUGAACACAGAUGUAGAAAUAGCUUGUUAGCAUAGCAUUACUCAUUGUGAGACAUUAAUUGUAUGUUUGAUUGAUCGGUAAGCUAUCGCACGAUUUGUCGUUUUUAGGGCCCAGAGUUAAUGAACGGAUUUAUAGAUAAUUUUGACUCGGAUCCAAAAAGCUAACGAGUUUGCAUCAAUGCAUAGAACAUAUAAUAAUAUCGGAUCCAUACUAAGCUAGUAAAAUUUCUAUUCAAAUAAAGUAAUAAUUACGUACAUGCAUUUAGGACACGUGCAAUAGUUUCAUAGGAUGUUUUGGUAUACACAAGUCUAAGAUUUGCCUUAACAUAAUUCUUUUCCUUCACUUUUCUUCCUUUUUGUCAAAGUAUGGGAUAAAAGUAUAUUAUUAUUAACGUGGGCCCUAAUAAGAGUUUAUUUAUUAAUAAUAAAAAAAAAUGUUCAAAUAAAUAAAGUGAAAGAGACAAUUAGGUGACCAAGGUUUCAACCAUUUGUUUUAACUUCUUGUUAAUUAAUAAGAUAAUGACAUCACAAGUAGCUAAGUUGUUAUGUCUCUCUCAAGCACACCUCGAUCAUUCGUGUGUUUUCAAAUAGUGGAAAAGGAAAUUAAUCAACUCCGAUAAUCAGAUAAAUAAUUUGAGUCUGAUUCAUUUUAUUAGGUUAGGAUCAAACCUAAUAAAAAUAUAAAAAUAUAAAAAUAUUUAAACAUCGUUUUUCAUUAACUUAAAACUUUUAGAAAAUGACGAUUGUUUUAUAUUAGUUAACAAAUACUUUACUAUUUACAUGAAGGAUUGAAAUAUACACUGCCAAUUAUGCUUUGGGGUUUCGUUGUGGCAUACUAUAUAUCCCAUGUAUUGACACUGAAUUUUUGUGAGAUAAUUCACUUUUAUAAUAUUUUCUUUCAUUCUUUGAGAAGUAAUACUGCAGCAAUUUUACUCUAUUACAUCAAUUUAAUUGCCUAGAAAUUAAUGAUUGCAAAAUAAAUUUUAUUACAAAAAUAUGUGCCAUUGUGAUAAUGCAAACCAUAUUGUUUANAUAUAUCACAAUAUUUAUACCAACCAUGCAAUGAUUCUUUUUUAUUGUAAAAAAUUAUUAUUGUUGCUACAGUAUUUAUUAUUGAGAAAGAAUUAAUUUCUAGCAGUGUUGGUGGAAAAGAAUUACCGGAACAUGACAUGUAUUUAGCAUUGAUUUUGUAUAACUUAACUAUUUUCUAGGUAUCGAUAAUAUCAGAAAUAUAAAAAAAAAAAUUUAUGUAAAUAUCUGUUUUAUUUUCUUUUCCGUCAUGAUUUUCAAAAAAUCUAGCCAUGAAAAUUUGAACUUACCAAUCAAAUAAUAUAAAACUAAAAAGAAUAACAAGAAACAUUUUGGUUUGAACUUGUGUUAAAUAUAAAACUAUAUGAACAUGUUCUCUAAUAGUUUAAAUUUUUAGAGUAUAUAUAACUAUUGUUUUACAUGUAAAAAUUAUUUCUACUUCAACUUGUUUAUUAAGAUGCAACUAUUUCCACAGUAAAUAGUUUUUUUUUUUUUCCUGUGAAACACAAUAAAUAGGCUACUGACACUACACAAUUAAGAGUACCUGAUCAGCUUCGAAUUAAUUAAUGCCAUAAUAAUUCAACUUGAUCCCAAAUAUUAAUGGGGUGCAAAUCCCAACCCUUAUUAUGUUGAGGAACUCAUAUUUUGGAUAUAUAUUGCUAUUCUGCACCCAAUAAAAAUAGCAGAGUUAGAAAAAUUAAUUUGGAGGAGAAUUGAGAGAAAUUGGGACUGACAUGUUAACCCCAACCCUUUUUUUUUUAUUUGAGAAAUAGGUAGCACGUUACCGCUUCGUUUAUUUUAUUUAAAAAUAAACUUAACUGGAGAUGUGAAUCAAUUAGGAUUCGAACUUAGGAUCACAAAUACCAACCACAAAAUCUUUUGCCAUUUGCUCUAGGGACGGUCAGUCGUGAAUCCCAACCCUCCCAUUCAACAAUGAGAAAAUACUGCAUGUUGUCAUGUUGCUGGUCUACUAAUAUUUUGCUUAUGCUUAACCUAUUUUUUAAUAAUAAUAUUAUAAAAUUAAAAUCUAAUCUAAUAAAUAUGAUCUAAACUACAUAAAAAAGUUAUGUAUAAAAGAUUAUAAAAUUUAAAAUUUUAUAACAUGGUUAUUGGCAAUUCCACAAGCUUUCCAUCAACAUUUAACCUUCGAGCGCACGACCACCCCUAACGCAAGUGGUAAAAGAUUUGAUGGUUGCUAUCCGAGGUCCCAAGUUCGAAUCCUAAUUGAUUCACUUUUCCAGCUAAUUAUUUAUUUCUAAAUAAACGAAGUGACUUGCAUACUACUUUUCUCUCAAAAAAAAAAUCCUUUUGUUACAUGGCACUUGGGACUUUCAAUACAAGAAAAAGCCCAACCGGCCGUCCCUAGAGUAAGUGGUAAAGGACUUGGUGGUUGGUAUCCGAGACCCAGGUUCAAAUUCUAGUUGAUUCACAUUUCCAGCUAAAUUUAUUUCUAAAUGAAAUAAACGAAGCAGCGGGUAGCGUGCUACUUAUCUCUCAAAAAAAAAAAAAGAAAAGAAAAAGCCCUUGUAAAGGGACUUAAUGGCAUCUCGUACACAACAUGCAAUCCGAUGCAAAUGGGUCUUAUAAAUAAAACAAAUAACCGAUGGUUGGUUCAGUUGAAAAGUACAAGGCUCGUCUCGUUGCAAAAGAUUUUGACCAAAAAGGAGUUAGAUUUUGUCAACAAAUAGCUUAUUAUUGGGCUUAAAAGAAUAAUUUAAAGUGUAAAAGGUUGAUGUUCAACCUAUUCUUGGGAUUUAACAGUGGGUUAUCAUGCACUUUGUUAACAAGAGGAUAAUUUUGAAUAUAUAUAAAACAAUUAAAAUAUGGCUUUUUAACGGGCUUAAGCUUUUGGCGCAAAUGGUUAUUUUUAAGCUUUUGGCAUUAAUGGUUAUUUUAUAUAGGACUAGAUUAAGAGGCCAAAUCCAACCAAACUAAGCAUUUUUAAAACUGAAGCUUUUAAAGUAAGUUUAUCUUCGCAGAUAAAGGCCAUCUAUUUUCUUGUAUAUACCACUUAAUUUAUUAUCUGUCCAAAUAUUAUUCAGAUUAAUUUCCUUUUCCAUAAUAAUCUGAAAAAGGUUUAGUUUGUGUUCGAGUUGUAUACUGCAUGCCAUCUUUGAGGAAACUUGCUUGCCUGAUGAGAGUUUUAAUGCUACACUCAAUAUAUAGAGCAGGUCUUGUGUGUUAUUAGGAGUACGAAAGCCUAUGUGUUCCUAAGCUAUUUUCGAUGAUGGAGCUUUCGAAUCGACGAUCAACUCCGUUAGACUUGAUCUAACGUAUUUGAAUUAUCUACAAAAUAAAUUUUGCAAUUAUUCGAUAUUAUUUACAUAGCGAUUAAAAGUAUUCAAAAUCAACGGCUGAAAAUAAAACUUUGAAAAAAGACAGUGAUAUAACACUAAAAUUUUCUAUCAGAAAUAUUGAUCUUACAAUAAAUAUCCAAAAAAUAUUAUCAAAAUUUUAUCUGAUUUGAAUACUUCUACACCAUUAAAUUUGUAAACGAUAUACAUCAAUCAUUAAAAUUUAUUAAUUUUUAAAACAUUUCGAUAUAUCGUUAGGUAAAUGAUAUCGAAAAAUCGCAAAAUUUAUUUUCUAGAUACUUUAAAUAUAUUAGAUCAAGUAUAAUUAGGGGUGUAAACGAGCCGAACACGAGCGAGCUGGGGUCGGCUCGUUAAAGUAUCGAGUCGAAAAAUUCAGCUCGUCUUUGGCUCGUUUAUUAACGAGCUGAACACGAGCUGGCUCACGAGCUAGCCAACGAAUAAUAAAUUAAAAAUGAUUAGAUUAAAUAUAUAUAAAAAAUAAAUUUAUCAAAUCUUAUUCAUUAGACUUUGAUCUAAUAGUUGAAAUCUUUACAUAUAAAUGAGUCUUUUUUUAUAAUUAAACUCGCAUUUAUAUUUUUAUUUUACUAAAAAUUAAUAUAAAAAUAUAUAUUAUAUAUAAUUUAUUUAUAUAUAAAAAUAUAAAUUAAAUAAUAUAUAAAUAUAAAUAUAUGUAUUCGAGCUGUUAUCGAGCCGAAACACGAGCGAGCUGACCCCAGCUCCGUUUUCGGCUGUUUAUUAAACGAGCUGAAAAUCCAGCUCGUAUUCGGCUCGUUUACUAAACGAGCGAGCCGAUCUCGAGCUCAUUUCAAGUGAACACGAGCUGGCUCGCGAACAGCGAGCUGGAUUGCCACCCCUAAGUAUAAUGGAGCCGAUCAUCGAUUCGUAAGUCCCAUCAUUGAAAACGACUUAAGAGCACAAAGGCCUCUAUGCUCCUAAAAGCACAGAAGACCUACUCUCCAAUAUAUAUAUAUAUAUAUAUAUAGAGAGAGAGAGAGAGAGAGAGAGAGAGAGGAGAGCUAGGCUGGAAUACUGUUGAUAACAAAAGGCUUUUUUUGCUAUCAAGUUUUUAACACUUAGAUGAGAAAUUAUAAAGUUAGGAUGAUAUUAGUCCUUUGGGGUUGAACGGUCCCCCUAAGGUUGAGUGAUCUCCAUUGGAUUAUAAUAUUUAAUCUAAUGGUUAGAAAUGAUGAAAGCAAUUAAUUCAAAGGCUAAAAUUUGAUAGCAAAAAAAGUCUUUUACUAUCAAUAGUGUUCUAGCCUAUAUAUAUAUAUAUAUAUAUAUAUAGAGAGAGAGAGAGAGAGAGAGAGAGAGAGAGAGAGAGAGAGAGAGAGUGAGCUAGAAUACUCUUAAAAGCAUCAAGGGAGUGGUGCUUUUCAGUUUUUAACUAUUGGAUGGAAAGAUGUAGGGUUGAGAUCAUGGUGGUAAGUGGAAUUGUGUUUGAUCCGAAAGUAGUUAUUAAUAAUUAAGGAGUAAAUCGAGCUAGAAACUUAAAAGCACUAAAGAAUUGGUGAUUCUAAAAAUAUUCUAGCUCAAUUCUAUAUAUGUAUAGAGUGAGAGAGAGAGUCCGGCUAUGAUGCUUAUAAAAGCAUCAAGUAUUUGGUGUUAUAAAUUUUUUACCAGAUCAAAAUAUAUAUAUAUAUAGAGAGAGAGAGAGAGAGAGAGAGAGAGAGAGAGAUAGUUAGUUUUUUUGUUAGUUUCAAUGCUUCACUCAAUAGAGUGAUAUGUACCUAACACUUGUGGCUCUUCACGUCUAAAUUUGCGUGUUGGAGAGGCUGUACAUAUACACUAUCCUUUUUUGGAGAAAGGUACAUAUACACUAUCCUGAUCUGCAAAGAUGGGAACUUUUUGAAGUUGUCCAAAGUGCUUCAGUUCAACCCAUCAAAUCGGAUUGACUUAAGACCCUUUAGACCUUUUCAGAUCAGUGAUUCGUUCAGUAAAUCUAUGAACCCACUGAAUUUUAUAAGAAUAGGCCGGAUUUUUUUCUAUUUUAUACUUUAAUAAUUAAAAAUAAUAAUAAUUUAGUGUUUAUGACAUCAUUUAUUGUGAAAAUAAUUUUACUUUUUGAGUGAAUGGUAGCACAACAGAUACUUUAUUUUUUUUUAAACUGAAAAUAUAAAACAACUAAGCUUCGAAUUUAGAAUCUCACAUAUCAAUCAUCAAGCUCAUUGCUUACGUUGGGGACGACAAAUUAUUAUAAAAAUAACUUUUUUAAUAAAAUAUUAUAAAAAUAAUUAAAAAUAAAGUUUUGAGAUGGUACGACGAAACAAAACACAUCAAUAAGAAAUCCACAACAAACGUGGUGGGCAAGGUGAAGGCACUCCAUAUUGCUUGAUCAUAGGGGAGGGGGGAUUAAUUGCUACUUAUAUAUAUAUAUAUAUAUAUAUAUAUAUAUAUAUAUAUAUAUAUAUAUAUAUAUAUAUAUAUAUAUAUAAAAGCUUUUUUCACUAUUAUAUCCAUUAAUUUUGCAUGUUUUACUUCAAUUUUAAUCGGGACCAUGUAUACUUUGUAGUGGAAGUAAUGGUAAUUUUUUUGUUAACAGAAAUUGCUUACUAUUCACCGUGAGAUGCGCUUUUGUAUUUUUCCGUAGCUGUCGAUGUUAGAUUUUAAAUGAAGGCCUGUGAAAAUAAAAUAUGUCGGCAUAUAGGACAAAACAUAAUUACACUACUGUAGAACCCAUAUCCCAAUCAAGAAGGAACUAUGUGGAACAAAGGUUUAUAAUUAAAACAUUAUUGAAUCGUGGGCGCUAAUUAUUAAUUCUAAAAUUUAAAUUAUUAAAAAAAUAUAAUUAAUAGUACUCAUGAAUUUUGAUUAUGAUUCGGCCCAUUCAGCCUAACGUAACUUCUAAUACGACUCAGCUAAUUCCGAUCUCCUGUCAUUUCGAACAUAACUCAUCUCAAACUGAUUUUUCAUCACAGGACAGAAUAAUAGCCCCCUUAAGCCAACAAUCCCAUUCCCCCACCCUCUUCCCGAGUAGGGCUAGAAUAUUUGUAAAAGUAUCAUGGGGGUGAUACUUGUGUGUUUUUAGUCCUUGGAUGGAGAGAUGUGAGGUUGAGAUGAUGGUGGUAGGUGGUGGUAGGUGGAAUAGUGUUUAAUCCAAGGGCUAUUAAUAAUCAAAAAGUAGAUCCAAUGGCUUAAAACCUAAUAGCACCAUGAUAGUGAUACUUGUAAAAGUAUCAUAGCUCAACUCCUCUCCUCUCCAGCACUUGUAUAAAUUUGCAGUAUGCGGGAAUUCAAUCCGUAAACUCUGGCUCUGAUAUCACAUGUCGAAUCGUUGACGCUAACUAUUAAUCCUAAAAACCAGAGCUGUUAGAAAGAUGCAAAUAAUUUCUUUAAAGCGUAUAAAUACAGCGCUUACGGAUUUUGAUUGUGAUUCAACUCAACCAGUCUCAUACUACUUCGAAUAUGACUUAGUCCAAUCCAACCUCUCGUCAUUUCGAACAUAACUCGUCUUAAUUUGACAUUCCGUCGUAAGGUAAAAUACUGAUUUUUUUAAACCAAUAAAUAUUAAUACUAUGAACCAAUUAGUACUCAUUAUUCUCUGCAUCUGUCAAAAAUGUAUUUUUGUUGUGGAAUAAUGUCAACAAUGUGAAACAAUUGAUUUCAUGUUUUAGAUUUGUUUAGUACUCUUUGAUGUACUCUAAUGUACUCUUCUUUUCCUGUGCAAUGGAAAUGGGAUCCAAUUCUCUCCUUUCCUGUGUAAUAGAAAUGGGAUCCAAUACUGUUUCCUUCAAGCCAAAAAAUAAUAGGUGUACUCUUCUCUUUCUUUUUAGUGAAAAUGAUGAGAUCCAACACUGUUUCCCUUCAAAAAAAUGGAAAGGGUAAUUAAUAUACUUAGAUUAUUUAAGAAUCAUGCAUUCUUUGUAAGAUCCAUAUGAUAGAUAUGUUGACAAAGGGCCAGCAUUCUACUCUAUGGCCGGAGGUCGAAUUGGAUCAAAUUAUAUUCGAAAUAAUAUGAGAUUGACUGAGCUGAAUCACCAAUCAAGAGGUAUUGUGUCUGCAUGUUUUAAAUAAAUUGAUUGUAUUUUUCUAACAGCUCAAAUUUUUUGAAAUUAAUAUUUAGCAUCAAUGAUGCAACAAGAUAAUACGGCGAUUUUUCUAUUCUUUUCCUUUCUUUUUUUCAUUUUUGAUCAAUCAUUAGUAUUCGAAAAGGCUAAAGAAUUAAAUUAUUUAAAUAAAUACUAGCAAAUUUCGAAUUUUCACUAUCUAAAACCCUCUUUAAUCAGAACCAACCCAACAAUAGUCAUAGCACUAGAGUAGAAUGGCUUAUUUGGAUUACAAAAUCUUCGUCAACAUAGACUCAACUAUUUCACUCUAAAUAUUUUCAUAGCUAAUUUCCAAAUUCAAUUUCCUAAUUAUCAAGCAUCUUAAUCUAGGAAUUAGAAUUCUUUGUAAUUAGAAAAUGCAAGCAAAGUACUUACAACAAAAUACAAGCCACUUGCAUUUUAAUUUCCUAUUUUUGUGUGUAUUCCAAACAAACAAUUUUCCCUUUCACUUAAGAAAACUGUGGGCCUGGUUCUCUCCUCAGCCCUUCUUUCUAAGCCCCUUCCACACUCAAACAACAUGUCAACAACCUCACUAUGUGAAAGAUGCCAUUGUGCUCACCUGGUCCACCAAAAACUGAUCUUCCAAACUAUCUUUUAAAUUUAUUAAAGCAAAAUUUCAUAAUAUUUGAGGUGGUAUAUGUGAAUUCAAGAGCCAAAAAGACUAUAUAUUAGGAUUAAAAAAACUUUUGGAUAUAUAUUUCUCACAUGUAAUAGAUUAAGAUCCUGUUUGGACGUUGAAAUUAUACAAUAUUUAAUAAUAACUUAUUCAAAAUAAUUUUUUUUUGUAUGAUUACAAGUAAGAGUGUGAUUUUUGUUUAUAUAAAUUAAUGGGAUAACGUAUUUCAUCCAUUCUAGAAUACGGCGAAAAAUAAAAAUAAAAAUGACAAAAUAUUUAAGUUAUAUGUAAAAACAAUAAAGUAUUAAAAUUAAAAAAAGUGAUAAACAACAAUAGGAUAACUGAUUUUUUAAAAAAAUUUGCGCCCUGACGCUCACCGGACAAAUUUACGUCUAACCUCUCUCCUAUUUUUGGAAAAAAAAAGAAAAAUCUAGAAUACAUUAGUUAUAUUGCUGAUGUUACAUCACCAACUAAUCAGAUUGUUUUUUUUUUAUUCAUCCCCCUAUCAUAACUAUUAAAAAAAAAUUUAUUAUAUUUUUUAUUUAAAAAAUAAUUCAUAUUUGAUAGAUGAUUUUGCGUGACUGGUAUCCAAUAGAAUCUCUCCAUUCCUUAAAAUGGCCCCCAUCCAACCCCAACUAAUGGACAGUUAUACACCUCCACCACACCACACCACUCUCCCCACUAAUUGGCUUCCCCACUCCGUACCCACAGAUAUUUCCCCCAAUAUAAACUACUCUAUCCCCCAUAAUAAUUCCACUCUUUCCCAUAUCACUAUUCCUGUGUGCUCUCUCUCUACUCUCUUUCUCUCUCUCUCUCUCCCCACUCCUCUUUUCCCUCCAAAAAAAGAAAAAAAGAAAAAAGAAAACCAUCAAUCUUUUAUUAGAAAACCAGGUGCUAUCCAUAAAGCCAUAUAACAUAAUCAUAUAUAUACAUAUAACAGGAAAAAGGAAAGGAAGGUAACAGAGAUUGUAUUUUAUUGAUGGCGACGCCAGCGGAGGAGGAAGACGAGAGGAAUCUGAUACUGGGGAAGUACGAGAUGGGGCGGGUGCUGGGGAAGGGCACGUUCGCGACGGUGUACCACGGCCGCGACCUCCGGUCGGGGGAGAGCGUCGCGAUCAAGGUGAUCGGCAAGGACCGGGUGCGGCGCGAGGAGGGCAUGAUGGACCAGAUCCGGCGCGAGAUCUCCGUCAUGCGCCUCGUCCGCCACCCCAACGUCGUCGAGCUCCGCGAGGUCAUGGCCACCAAGUCCCGCAUCUUCUUCGUCAUGGAGCUCGUCCGCGGAGGCGACCUCUUCGACCUCGUAUCCAAACACCGACGCGGCCUCCCCGAGGACCAGGCCCGCAGGUACGUUGAAUAAAUAAUCGUUUCUCUCUAAAAGCUUAAAUCGUUGAUAUUUUUAUUAUUAAUACUUUUCUGGGCACAAACUUUUAUUUGGAUAUCCUCAAAAUCCGUAAUAUAAUAUUAAAAUCUUUUUUGAGCUGAGCCGGUAAAGAACGGUAUUCUAAUAUUUUAUUUCAUAAACAGGUACUUCCAGCAGCUGAUUGCCGCCGUCGACUUCUGCCACAGCCGUGGGGUAUGCCACCGCGACCUGAAGCUCGAGAACUUGCUGUUGGAUGCCAGCAGUAACACCUUGAAGGUGUCCGACUUCGGGCUGUCGGCGCUCCCGGAGCAGCUGCGGCACGACGGGAUGCUGCACACGCAGUGCGGGACGCCGGCGUACGUCGCGCCGGAGCUGCUGAAGAAGAAGGGGUACGACGGCAUGCGCGCCGACAUGUGGUCCUGCGGCGUCAUCCUCUUCGUGCUGCUCUCCGGCUACCUUCCUUUCCAGCACGAGAACAUCAUGAAGAUGUAUAAUAAGAUCUGCCGGGCCAAGUACCAGCUCCCGCCGUGGGUCUCCGCCGACGCCGGCCGGCUCAUCGGACGGCUGCUCGUAAGCGACCCGGAGAAGCGGAUAUCGAUCGCGGAAAUGAUGCAGCUCCCUUGGUUCAAGAAGGGGCUCCCGCAGCCGAUAUCGUUGGGGCCAAGGAUGGCGGUGGCGGUGGCGGCGGAGGAGGAGGAGACCGGGGAUCGGGAAUUGGAUCCGGAUCCGGAUCCGGUGGCGGCGGUGAAUUCGCCGAGGUCGUACAACGCCUUUGAGCUGAUAUCGGCGAUGUCAUCGGGGUUCGACCUGUCGAGGAUGUUCGGGAGCGAAUUGCGGGCGGGGGGCACGGUGUUCACGGCGCGGUUGGCGGCGGGGAGGGUGAUGGAGAGGCUGGAGAAGGUGGGGAGGGCGCUGGGGUUCCGGGCGGAGAAGUCGGUGAAGGCGGGGUGGAGGGUGAGGAUGGAGCGGCCCGCGGUGGUCGAGUUCGGGAAGGACGCCGGCGACACCCUCGAGUUCGCCCGCUUCUGCGAGCACGACGUCCGGCCGGGGCUCAAGGAUAUCGUGUGGGCGUGGCAGGGCGACCCCCCGUCCCUGCCGACGGAGAGGCCAGCAAUCACUUGUACGACCGCUGACGAUGCCGCAGCAGUUGCCUAGAGCAGGCGUAGAUUUUCUGCAGCUCUGGUGUGCAAAAAAAACCUCUACAUGGAUCCUGAUCGCAUCAUCAUUUAUUAAUUCUGCGUACUGCACUGUAGAAAAUCUGAGCAAUUGAUAUGCAGGCAAAGUCAUUGACCGAGUAUUUCUAUGGGUUACACUUCCAUAUGUGGGUUUGUGUGACUCAGAGAUUGUACAUAGGUUUGUGUGAUUUUUGUUUGAUAUAUUACCUGUUUGUGUGGUAAUAUAUGAACAUAAUUUUGGGCCAGGGUGUACAUAGAGGCAAAGAGGAAGUCAAUUUUGUAUUUAUAUAUAUAUAUAUAUAUAUAUAUAGUUUAUCAAUUUGGGUAAAGUUUCCUAUAAUUUUAUUUGCUUUGAGAGAAUUGAUCUGAUAUUAGUUAGUACACUAGCCUAUUUCGAAAAAUAUGUAUGCUAAUAAAGUAAUGAACCCUAGUUGUGAUAAUUAUAUUUGGAACAAGAAGUACCUACAUGGCUACACAACAUGUUAGGAAAAUAUAGGACCAGUCCCACUGCAUUAAUUCUGUUUGUUUAUAGAUUGGUUGGGUGAUAGAAGGUGUGUUUAUUUUGAUCAAAGUCGGAGUUGAAGUGGCUGAAUUUCCCUAAUUGGAGAUCACUAGUGUUUCGACGGUAUUGCGGAGUUCAACUUUCAUGAGGCUUACACGGGCGACAAGUGCGAAUUCGUCUCAUGAUACAGUGAGUUUGCGUACAGUAUGAAAUCACAACACUAUGCUAGAGGAGCGCAAAGUCGAGCUCCAUCCUACUGCCGAAACCUGCUGAGUUCGACAGGGUGUGGUUCUGAGUUACCAAACAUAUCCUUAAUUUAAUGGGAGAUAUUAUUAUGAAGUUAUUAUCCUAGUUAGUUAAUUCGGAUUCGGCCAAAAUUCGGUACGGAUAUAAUUCGGAUAAAAUUCGUCUUUUAAUUUUUAAAUUCGUUAAAAAAUACGGUUAAAAAACGGAUUCGAUAAUUAUUCGGAUACGUGAUUUAUACGGAUAUUAUACGUUCACCAAUUAAAAAUUCGAAAUCAAAAAUUCGACUAUAUUUUAAAUAUAUAAUAAUUAAUAUAUUAUAUAUAUUAUUAUUAUAUUUUUUAUAUAUAAAUUAAAUAUAUUCAUAUAUUAAUAAUAAAUAUAUAUUAAUAAUAUAUAAGAUUUAUAUAUUUAAAAAUAUUAAUAAAUAAUUACAAAUUUAUAAAUAAAAUAUCAUAUAAAUAUUUCUAUAUAAAAAUAAAAAUAAAAAAUAUAUAUAUAAUAUAUAUAUAUAUAUAUAUAUAUAUAUAUAUAUAUAUAUAUAUAUAUAUAUAUAUAUAUAUAUAUAUAUAUAUAUAUAUAUAUAUAUAUAUAUAAAAGGGUGGUCCAAAGGUCCACUGUGGACCUCCCCUCAUGCGGUCCACGAGAUGAAAAUGGCCUCGUGGACCGCGCACACCAUCUAUGCCUCAUGAGCUCCGAUUUUUUUUCUGUUCAUCUUCUAUUUUUCCGCAGAGGCGAGACGGGAUCCGCAGCAUGCGUUGCUCCCGGCACCGGCGAGGGCGGCGGAGGAUGACGACGACGUGAGCGGCGACGAGACAGGAUCCGCAGCCGUGGCCCUUGCUGCCGGCGUCGGCGAGGGUGGCGGAGGACGACAAUGGCGCGAGCGGCGACGACGCGACCCUCGGCCAAUCGCCGAUUUUUUGGGUGAAUUAUUUGCGAAUUGCGAAUAAUUCACAAAUAAUUAUUUUUGAGAAAAAAAUCACGUUUUUUUCCUAAUUUUUCAGAAAAAUACGGGACGUCCCGUUUAAUUCGUGUUUUUAAAAGUACGCAAAUAAUUCGCGUAUUAAUCGCGAAUUAACUAACUAGGGUUAUUAUUGCAUACACACCUUAAAUUGGGCAAAAAUUGUAUGAACAUAGUGUCUAAAUUAACAUUUUUUGGGGACGCUCUGGAUGGGCGCCACGUGGCUUGCAGGCGUCCAUCUUACCGUCCUUUUUUUUUCUUAAAAAAAUGUGAUUUUUUUUUAGAGAGAGAAAGAAGUAGAGGAAGGAGAAUGGAUGGUGGGACGGACGCUUGCAAGCCACAUGACACCCUCCAGAGCAUCCCAAAAAUGCUAAUUUGAAUAUUAUGUCCAUAUAAUUUUUGCCCCCUUAAAUUGAAUAGCCAAACUAUCCUAGAUGGGUGUAGAGUUAAUGUGCAGACACAACAUCACUGUCAAAUAUUACAGCUAGAAAAUUAAGUACGCUAACUAUUUAUAUAUAUUUUUUUAUUUAUUUAAAUUGUUUUACUGUUUGUUUGAUUCCCUUAAAAAGAAUAAACACUAUAUGACAAAAUACUAUUUAAGCAGUAUAAUUAAUUAGGUAAUCACUAUUCAUAUUAACAUUUUCUGAAGAUUUUUAGGCUAUUUGCUAUAGUAGGAUCCCGAAGUCUCUUUUAAUAAACUUGCUCCUCAAAUAAGAUCUUAUUGAGACAGGUUGAUACAUGAAUCAUGUCAUUUUCGCUCUUUGAGCCUCCUUUAAAUUCGUCAUUUAAUACGUUGAAGAUAUUUGGACAAGAAAUUUUUAAACCAAAAUAUAUUUUUAAGAUUUGCGGGCAAAAUUAAUCGCUACCGCUGAGUAGCCUCCUCAAGGAAGUCACGCUUCUAUCUAAACUUGUUGUAGCUGAAAGCAAAAGCAGUAGAAUGGUCAAUUUUCAGCCCCGUUGAUAGGCUUUGAUCGGCAAUAGUGGUAAGGAUAUGUUGUCUUGAUUGUGAAGGUUCAAAAAUUGAUUGGUAUACACUUUAUAUUUUGAAAGCUUAAACACCGAGAGUAGGGACGAAAUCAGAAUUUAGGUUCAGAAAGGGAUAAAAAUACACUAUACGUUUGUCAUAAAGAAAAUUAUCAUAAAAUAUUACAAAAAAAAUUCAAAAGAAUUUGUUUGCCAACUUCAAAAGCAAAUAAGUCACAAAAUUUGUCGAUGGUUGAAUCAAUAGAUAACUUUUGAUAAUUUUUUUUUUCUUCUUUUCCACUACAUACGAUUAUAGAGAAGUUCUCGGUCUAUAAAUUUUAUAAGAAACAAUGUUAUAGAAUGCUCCUAAAAAAACUAAAAUUUAUAAUAUUCUAAUUUUUAUCAUGCCUAAUUAAUUAGAAAUUUAUAUGGCAAUUGUAGGCAAUAACAUGGCUCCGUUCCUCAGUCAUAAGUAGUAUCACUGAAGGGUUGCCUGAUUUUUCAAACAAAUGUGAAUAAAACAAAAAUUCCCCUUUUUUGCUUAUUUGAUUUUAUUAAAAUUAAUUUUUUAAUAAUUAUUUUGUAAAUUUUUAAAAAAAAUUAGUGUUUUUAUUUUUUUUAAUAAAAAACGAUAUUUCCAUAAAAUGUGAAAAAAGUAAAAAAAAAAAAAAAACACUUUUUCUUAAAACAAAUUAUAAUAAUAAUAUAUAGACAAAAAAAAUCAGUUUUUGGUAGGAAUGGCAUAUCAGCUCAUUGUUCACAAGUCAACUCGUGUUCGGCUUGAAAUGAGCUUGACAUUGAAUCGCUCGUUUAGUAUACGAGCCGAAUACAAGUUAGGGUCAGUUCCCUCGUGUCGAAUACAUAUAUUUUAUAUUUAUAUAAUAAUUUAUAUUAUAUAUAUAUAUAUAUAUAUAUAUUUUANUAUAUAUAUAAAAUACAUAUUUUUAUUAUUUGAUUUUUAAUCCAACAUAAAUAUAAAAUCCAACUCAAUUAUAAAAAGGUUCAUUUAUUUGUAAAAUUUCAUUCAUUCGAGUAAGAUUUCAUAAAAUUGUUUUUUUAUAUAUAUUCUUUCUAAUUUUUUUAAUAUAUUGUUCGUGAGUCAAAUCGUUUUCGACUCAUUAAUAAACAAGUCAAACAAAAGCUAAAUUUUUCAACUCGAUAUUUUAACGAUUCAGAUCGUGUUAACGAAACCUUGUUUUGAGAUGCAGUGUCACCAUAGUGUGUUACUAUUUAUGCCAAGUACGUAUCCUACAAAGCAAAACCAAUUCGUUGUGCGUAGACCUAACAAUCUCUUCCCGUAGUCGUGGAUUACCUAUAAAUUUGCAGGUAUGAGUAUCAGUUUUUUAAUCUAAAAUAUUAUAGAUAAAACGAGUGGAUACCAGUUGAGUGGUGGGUAUUUUGGGCAGCCCGCGGAUACCCACGGAUACCCGCAUAUAUAUUUUUAAAUUAAAAAAAUAUAAUUUUAUAAUAUUGAUUCAAUAAUGAUAAAAAUUUUAUUAAUUUUGAAUCAUAAAAAUUUGGGAUGAUGAAAUAUUUUUAUAUUAUGUAAUCUAUGUAUUUUUAAGAUGUUAUAUUGUUUAUUAUGUGUUAUAAUAUUUCAAAUAUGAAGUUACAUUAUAUUUUUAAAAAAUUUAUAUAUGUAUUUUGUAUUUAAAAAAUAUAAAAAUAAAAAUAAAAAAAAACCUUACGAGUAAUCAGUAUAUCCAUCCGUCCGCAUGUGAUUCGUAGGUAUAACGACCUGUUGGUCACCGAUUACUCAACCCGCCUAUUUGCCAGAUCUAACUUUGGAUGUGUCAUCACAUCAUGGUCAUGAAUGUGACAAUUUUAUUCAAGAUGCUUCAACCACGCCACCUUUAGUAGGAAUAUAAAAAUAAAUAUUUGGUAAAGGUGUGAGUUUGCAUAAACUGAAAUAUUUAAAGCGCAGGUGACAGGGAAUGGUGAUGUGAAAAGCGACCCACAGUUAAUUACCCAUUUCUAGUACAUCCUACUAUAUAUUUCUUCCUAUAUUAUUUUUUGAAGGAAAAACUUCAAAAAUUGUCUAUGUAGUUUCACACUUUUUUAUUUUAGUACUUUAUAAUUUAAAGUGUAUCAAGUUAGUACUUUAUAAUUUUUUACUUUAUUACUUUAGUACCAUGUGGUUUAAAAUAUAUCAAGUUAGUACCCUGUGGUUUUGCACUUUAUCACUUUAGUAUCCCGUGGUUUCAUACUUUAUCACUUUAGUACUCUAUGGUUUAAAAAAUCACAGAAUACUAACUUGAUACAAAAUUAAAACCACAGGAUACUAAAGUGAUAAAGUGCAAAACCACAGAGUACUAUCUUGAUACAUUUUAAACUAUAGGGUACUAAAGUGAUAAAGUGAGAAACCACAAGGUACUAACCUGAUACAUUUUAAACCACCGGGUACUAAAGUGAAAAAAAUUGAAACCACAAAAGGGUUUUUGAAUUUUUCCCUUUUUUGAAUUGUUUUUUAUUUUCUUAAUGUUUUCUUAAUACAAACAAUUAAAAAAUUAGUUUCGUAUUCGGUUUAUUUAUUAAUGAAUAGGGCAAGAGUCAGCUCAGAAAUAAAAAGUUAGAUUGUCAGCUCUACUAUUAAAUAAAAAAUUUUAAAAAAAGUAGAAUGUUAAUUUAAUAAUUAAAAUUCACAAAUUAUAGGUUUCUUUAUAUUUGGGUUAAUCUAGAAUCCACAUAGUAAAAAAUUAUCUCAUACGAGUUAUCUCAAAGCGAAUACAAACGAGCCGAUCCCAACUUGUUAAUGACCCAACUUAUAUGGUUAGGAUGAUAGUGACUUUUGGUUAAGAUGAUAGUGGUCCUCUUGAAUUGAGUGGGUGAUUAGUUGAAUAGUAUGAUCUAACAUGUGAAAAUGAUCAAAAGGUAGAUCUAACGGCGGAAAACUCGAUAGCACCAAGCGCUGCUAGUAUAAUAGCCAGACUUAUAUAUAGUAGGACUAUUGUAUUAUUAGAAGCAUAGUAAAUUUUGUGCCCCUAAAUUUUUAACCAUUUUUAGCCAUCCAUCUUGAGGUUACGGUAACCUCUUAUCUCAUAUUGGUAGCAAAUGAAAUUAGGGCCCAUUUGAUCACGCUUGCCAGGCUACAGGCUGCACAAGCCCGGGGCCAAACCUUUUUUUUUUUUUUUUUUUUUUUUUUUUUUUUUUUUUUUUUUUUUUGUUUUUUUUUUUUUU